ACCAAUCCAAAGCCCACGCAUAAGUUUCUAGUUUAACUCACUCUCCUUCUACUAUCUCACCCGCAAAUGGCACCUCAUGCCAAUCGUCUCGCCGAUAUCGGAAGGGAGGGUUUUGCUCUAGUGGACAGAUUUUAUGGUGAAGGGACAUCGGGUCCAGUACCAAAGAAGCAAUACAAAGGCCCAAAGCAGUAUGCUUCUGUUCCCAGUGACAAGAACGCAAUCGAUAGCAAGAAGGCCGCCGAAAAGUACAAAGGAACUGUGGUCACGAAGUACUACAAGAAGUUUAUUGGCUGGCGUUUCUAGGUUCUAGCACUGUAAACAUGUAAUGGUUCGAGUGACUUCCUAGAAGGUAGAGGUAACCGGAUGAAUAAGUCCUUGUCAUGGUUUUCACGGUUUUCCUCAGUCACUUCGAACUCUAGUACUGUGUUUAUGUAUAUCUUUUGUUUUUCAGCUUUCUGAAGUUUAAUUGUAUGCUUGGACAUGUCUAAGCUUUUAAUUGGACCCAUUUUACACUAUAUUCGACUUUUUAUUCCUCUCUUUGAUAAAAUUUAUGUCAAUCUAUGGUAUACUCGGACACUGACCGGUAUGAAAAGAGGACUUCAAUCGUUUUCAAAGUGAAUGACCACAACUUAAAGAACUCGCCAAUUUUCUGCUCCAAGGACUGUCCAAGAACUAGCAGGCCAUUGGACACUCUGGUUCUAUUGCUGACUUGCUGCUGCAUGAUUGAAUUCAUAAUCUUGAGUAAUAUUUUCUAAGGACUCGCCAAAGAUGAACCAUCCAAUUACGCAAGAUACGGUAGUAAAUCCAGCUGGCGCUUGCAACAUAUAACUACACAGAUGGACCAUUCUUUGACUUUUUUUGGUGCAAUUGCAUUCUUUCUCUUGUCUAGGAUGCUAAACUAUUUUCUAGGAUCAAAUAUCACUACUAUUGUAGCGGAAAAAUAUGUCCAAUAACUUCCUAGAUAUGUCACGAAUUAUUCACCUCUUAUUCAUAAAUUACAAGCAGCGAGCAUAAAAUAUUAGGGAUCUGCAUACUAACAAGCACAAGUUAUUUUCUUUUCUUUCUUGGAUGAAAGCGUGAAUAGUGAAUCUAAGUUUUUCAUCUAAACCAAAAGAACGACAAGAAUGAACGAAGGGGAACAGCUGAUGCACCACAUAUCAGGUUAACUCCAGGGGGUUCCUCAACUCAAAUAUGCAAAGAUCACUGAUCUCUAAGGCUCCAUCCACUUUUGACCAAAAAGGUUGAAUUUCUGAACCAUUUUGAGGGCUUUUGACGAAGUGUCUUCAAUCUGUUGGUACCCCGGGCUGGUACAGAUGAAGUAUGUGGCUCUUUGGCGGAGAAGUUGACUUCUCCAAGAGAGAAUCAUAUGACUGGAAGGCCGUGAAAAAAGAAUCUUGAAACACUGAGCAAAAUUCCACCUAGAGACUAUCAAUGUGGUGAACCAAUAUUGUUAUUGCAGGCAUGCCAAACCGCUUUUCGAUCCCUCCAAAACCACCAAAGAUCUUAAAGUCUAUAACCGGAGGUACGAUUGCUGGCAGUCAGUUUUAGACUUUACCAUUAAAGGUAGCUAGGUCGGAGCAGGCCUUGUGUAACACCCUCGAUUCCAACCCUAUGAGGAUCGGCCAUAAAGUCCUGAAUGGAUCGACCAUGAGCCAUUGGCUAUGGGAUCGAUUGGUUUGAUCGGUAAGGAAUCAAUGAUUGGUCAUGGUCCAAUCGGCGGAUCGACCGGGCAAGAAUUGGUCGAGAUGUCGGCCGUGAAUUGUCUACCGACCAUAUCGAUGGAAUAGGAUUACCAGCUCAUAAGAUGAAUUUUUGAUAACGAGGAUUGGUCAUAGGGUGAUUUUGGAUUGGCGGAUGAUCAUGGGUCGAUCCGAUUGAUUGUAAUGCCCGGCCAUGAGUGCUUCUGCCCGACUAUGCACCGAUACACAGAUGAUGCGACUUUAUAAAUGUGAUUGUCUUUGUCGUGACCAAAAUUUUUCGGGUGUGAACCACCUAGAGUUUGGCUAACGGAUUGUUAAGUCUAAACUUAACUCGGGCUCUCCCAAGCCCAUAUCAAUUCGCGACUUACGUUCAAGUUCUUAACAUGCAAUUGAUUUUUUAAUCAGGAGUCGUCACUAAUAUAUUUUUUUGGUGGGUCGAUUAGAAACCCAAGUAAAGUAACGGGAUUUUCACUUUACUCCUACGAACCAGAGACUAUGGGUACGGGGACUUGGUUACACUAGAUUUCUCUAAUGCCCUUUCGGUACCAUUCUUUUAUUUUCAAAAAAUGUUUUUGCAGGCAGCUUAAAUUGAUUUUAAAUCUAUUUUACUAACAUGUGAGGUGAUCAUGCAGGUGCGCAAUCCACCAAUUUAACACCUAGAUAAACAAUAAAUAAAUUGCAAAAAGUUACCUCAAAGCAACGAAAGCAUCUGCAAUGUUAAGUUAAAAACCGUAUCAACAACCUUAGAUAUGGUUUCUAAUUACCACGCAAUUUCUUUUUUUGUUUUCACUUAAUUAAUGAAAAUCAUGCAAUAUGCAAUGCAAUAUUAACUAAAUGACCUAAUUCUAAUGACAUGCAAUUUCUAGUUAAAUAGGCCUAGCAAAAAUACUAAAUGACAUGCAUCCCAGUGAAUCUAGCCCUAAUGACGUGCAUAUGCCAUUUUUCUCUUUUUCCUAAAAUAAUGCAUUUUAUCAUAAACAAUAAAACUAAUUUAACCUAUGGCAUUUUUUUUUGUAUUUUUCAGGUGAAAUGUGAAAAUUACCUAAUUAGAUUAAGAUCCUAUUUAAUUUAUGUUAGGAAUUAGGUUGAGCCAAAUCCUAAUUUAAACUAAAACAUUAUCUUAACCUAAAUAAUCCUAAAAUGCAAUAUAUCUAAAAAAUACCUAAACUUAUAACAAAUUAAGAAAAAAAUAUUAUCUAGAAUUGAACUAAGUGAAAUUUAGUCCUAAUACGCAAUAACGUGCAAAAUAUGCUUUAACACUACAUGACAUGUAUAUGAUGAUUUUUUUUUUGUUUUUGUUUAAUUUCGAAAUUAAUAAUUGCCAAAUAAUUAAACAUGCAAUCCAAAUUAAAAAUCUAGCAACCUAAAUUGAUUGAUUUGAUUUUUAUUUUUAUUUUUGAUUUUAAAAUUUGAAAUAAGAUUCCUAUUCUAAAUAUGUAAGCCCUAAAACAUGCAAUAUUAUAACCCAAACACAUUUCAAGAUAAACAAAGCGAUCAUGACAAGCUAAACCAAGGAUAUCACACAUCAUUCAGAUCAUAGGUAAAAUUUCGCUAGUAAAAUCGAUAAAUUGAUCUUAAGCCUUAAAGAUCAAAAUAUCAAUUUUAUUCCCGCUUGAUUAAUUAUUUCAUCUAAAGCCUUAUAGACGAAAUAAAAAUCCAAGCGCGGUUGCAAAUCAGGUGAUAUGUUGGAAUUUCCAAUCAUAUAUUAAAGACUAAUUAUAUUGAAAAAACAAGAUAAAGUAAAAUAAAAUAAAAUAAAAUAAAAAGAAAAAACUACCUGAUGUGCUUUUUUUUUUUUUUUUUCUUUUUUUUAAAGCAAAGAUGAUGGUUGCUCCAGUAAGGGGAUUCGCCGGCAGUGGACUUCGGCGAGAGCAGCAAGGGUAGCUACUGGCGAGGGACUCUGGCGAAGAAGGGCGACAGUGAGCAUCGGUGGGGGAGGCUCUGGUGGUGUCGGGUUGCGGCAGGGACAGCAACGCGGCGGCGGCUGAGUGUUGGGCGGAGGCGAGUAGGGGCGGUGUGGUCUCCGAGUUGCGGGCUUCAAAUGGUGGGGCGUUAUAGGGACGGCAGGGGGCCUCGGGCAGCUGGUGCGGUGAGGUCGGGAGCGGCAGGCUUCGGAGCUCCGGCAUCGACUGGGCAGGAGCGCGAUCGUCGGGGCGAACCUCGCGAGCGGAGCAGGGGCGUUGUAGUGGCGUGGCUUCGGUGAGGGCGGGAGUGCGGUCGUCGGGACGCCUGGCGUUCAGUGCUGCUGGUGCGGAGUGACGAGGAGUGGCGAAUGGAGUGGCUGUGUUGCUGCGCGUCAGGGGCGAAUCCAGCGAGGCGAUGGUGGUGGAGGCGCGGUGGUGCUCGGGGGGAGUGGCGAGACCGGUGGCAGGGCGUCGCGGGUCGCUGGCGUCGAGUUGCGUGGAGCGGGAGCAGCAGCAGCGUCUUGGUGUCAAGGCAGCUUCGGCGGCAACCGGCGCAGCGGAGGCCGGCAGGUGGAACGGUGAGGGGAGACUCGGAGAAGAUGAUGAGCAGGAGCUUUUUUUUUCUUCUCUCUCUUCUCUCACGUCACUUCCUACGUCUCCUCUCUCUGUCUCAUCUCUCUGCUGUAUUUUCUUUUUGACUUUUGACUUCUCCCUUCUCCCCAAAACAAAAGAAUUGAUUUUCUUUGGGGUUUUUGAGCUUAAAAACCCGAAAGAAAAAGCACUCCUCACGUUUUUUGCUCUGAAAAUUCUUUCUUGAAUUCACUCUCGAAUUUUUUUGAAAAUCGCCCCCCUCAUACGAAAAAUGAAGCUCUCUUUUAUACUAAUUCCAAACGGCCGCUUUGUAUGGCAUUUUUCGAGUUUUCAUCUUCUGUCGCAUUAAAUCAAAGCUGCAAAUCAGAGCAUGAUUUCGCAAUCAGCUCAAUCUUGUUCAGAUUUCUUCAAUUUUGCAAAAUUCUUGCCUCUUAUUCACUUGAUUUUAAAUUGCUUCUACAUUUAAUAAAAUUCGAAUGCUCAUCAAAAUUUCAAAUUUCCAUGCAUAAUCAAUCAAAUAAAUUUCCCCUAUUUUUUUUUAUUUUUUUCCUUUUAUUUGUUCCAAUGCAAUUUUUAUUUUCCUUAUUUUCCUAAAUUUGCUAAAAAUAGGUGUCAACAGCUGCCUCUCUUUGAAGGUGAGCUUGUAGAGGUUGCCUUCAAAGACAACUUGAGACCUAAAUGUUGAUCAUGUAGAUGUACUGAGUGACUCUUUUUUUUUUUUUUAAAUGAAUCCCAUUUGGAAAUGAAAUUUAUAUGAUGCAUGGAAAUGUUAAUGCAAAUGAUAAAGGAACUUACCUGGAAUUACUUACCUUCGGGGAUGGUAGAGUAACUUAAGAUAGAUUGGUGUUACAUGUCAAGGACCCGUACUAUUCUACGGUCGCCCGGAAUAAUAACAUGACUUCACAAAGUGACUGCUUUCCCAGGACCCGUACCAUUCUACGGUCGCUUAGUAUGGCAUUGUUUGGUUAUGUCUAGGACCCGUACCAUUCUACGGUCGCCUAAACGAAAAAAAUGAUUUUCCAGGACCCGUACCAUUCUACGGUCGCCUGAAUGAAAAAAGAUUUUCCAGGACCCGUACCAUUCUACGGUCGCCUGAGUUGAGGUUGUCUAGGACUCGUACCAUUCUAUGGUUGCCUAAACAAAAAAAAUGAUUUUUCAGGACUCGUACCAUUCUACGGUCGCCUGAAUGAGGAAAUUGCUUUUUCAAGACCCGUACCAUUCUACGGUCGCCUGUUAGAGCAAUAAAUGUUGUCUAGGACCCGUACCACUCUACGGUCGCCUAGACUAAGGUUUUGCUUGGCUAGGACCCGAACCAUUCUUCGGUCGCCCAACCUUGCGACAGAAAUCAUCCGACCAGGACCCAAACCAUUCUUCGGUCGCCUUAAUCAAAUUGAAUCUGGAGGAAAAGUCUUUGGGGGACAACUCAAUUGAGUGUCGGUAUGCUUAAAAGGGAAUACCUGUGCAAUGACAAAUAUUCAAGGUAUGGAUAGAGAUAUACUUACCUGGUAAUAUCUCCGAUCUUCAAAGAUACGUCUCCUACAAAACAUGGUCGUAGGAGAGAAAACAUGCAUUUGUAAUCAUAAACAUGCAUCAAUAUAAUGGAGGUUAUGAUGAUUUCCAUUAAUCUUGCAUCACCUAAUUUCCAUUCUGAAUACAUGAGUGUCAUGAAUGUGUCAAAUGAGGGAUCCUUUGGUCUGAAAGGACUUUUUCUCUCAUCCUCAUUAAAAUGGCAAUUUCAUCAUGACCUUUGAUGUAGGAUUUUGUCAAUCACUCUAUCUCACCAUCGUCAUGCCCAAACCAGGGUUUGAGCAAUCUCGCAAGUGGUACGAUCUUAUCAAUUUGAGAGGUCUUUAACAAGGACCAUAAUGUGGGCCUGGUCAACGGCUUAACAAAAGGGACUCUUUGAGUCAAGGCUUUUGAAAGAAUGAGUGAUAUCUGUAAUCAUCUCUGGGUUUACAAGUCAAGAACCUUGCAAAAUGAGAAAGAAAUAAUCUUGCUCGCACUUCUUCGAGCGAUGCUUAAAACAUGUGAACCCCUAGGUUAAUUCAAGUGCCUUAAUUUGAAGAGACUUUUGCAAGGGACGUAACGUAGGCUUGGCUCAUAGGUUCAGAAAUGAAAGGAUCAUUUGGCUCAAAAAGUGUUUAUGGGGUCAAAGUUGGUGAUCAUCUUAACAUUUCAAACAAUUUUCCUCCCCAUCAUCGAAGAUUUUCUUCACAUCACAACUCCACCGAUUGCAACAUCUUAACAUUUGAGUUUUUUUUUUUUGGGUACCACCUUGUUGGGGAUACGACUCACUUCAUCAAGUGUUUGAUUUUUUUUCUUUGGGCAUUGGCCUUGCUUUUACCAGGCACACUGCUUUUCAUGCCCCAUUUUUUGCACUUUUUUUUUGGACAAAGUCUCCAUUUUUAUUAGCAUUGUAAAUCAUGCUAUUUGAGUGGUUUGAUUUUUCUUUCCUUGCCCCAGUGUGGGGGAUGAUCACCAAUUGGGUUUAAAGAAAUGAAAAUUGCAGGCUCAAGUGGGCUAUGCAAUGGGUAUAAGUAUGUAGGAUAGAGAAAGAAAUGCUCUUCGUCAUCCUAAGAUACUUAAGUUAACCCAUGAAUUCAAUGCAAUAGCACGACUUAAAGAUUGAUGAAAGUGAGAGCUAGAAAAUUUCAAUUCAUUUUUCUCACCUCAUGAUGCCAUUUUAUCUCCCAUUUGCCCCAAUGUGGGGUGAUUCUUGACAGGGGUAAUUCGAAAAGAAUAUCCAUAAGUGUAUGGGCUCAAAAGGGUUAAGCAAUGGAUCACCUAUAGUGUUUGGGAUAGAGAAACGAAUGCCUCUCAUCACCUUGGUUGACGUACCCUUUGCGAGAUAGCCCUCUUCCUUGCGGGCAUUGAAUUUUUCACACAACUCACUAGGGGUUAGUGUAUGAAACAGUGUAUGGAACAAGGCUUGCCUUUCAUCAUUCCAAAGUAUCCCAUUUGACACAUUCAAUUUAUCUCACACAAUUCAUCAAGGGAGAAAAAAUGCAAGAUUUGCAAUAAAAUUGAACAAUCGAACUCAUUGAAGCAAUUUAUUCAUCAUUGAAAUGCUUGCAGUUCAAAACAUGACAUUGAAAAUUCUAUCAUGGGUAAUACUUCUUGACAGCAUCUGAAUUAACAGGAGUGGAAAACUCAUGACCAUCCAUUUCUGCUAAUAUCAAGGCACCGCCAGGAAGUAUCUUCUUUACCACAUAUGGGCCGCUGUAGUUUGGAGCAAACUUGUCUCCAAGAUCCGGAAAGAUCGGCAAUAGCUUUCUUAGGACUAGGUCAUUUACCUCGAAAUGCCUUGGCCGCACCUUCCGGUUGAAAGAUUUGGCUACUCUCUGUUGAUACGCUUGGCCAUGGCAGAGAGCUUUCAAUCUUUUCUUAUCGAUCAAGUUCAACUGCUCGAAUCUUUGUUGUGACCAUUCCGCCUCAGACAACUCCACUUGGGAUAAAAUCUUCAGAGAAGGAAUUUCCACUUCUAUAGGUAGAACUGCCUCCAUGCCGUACACCAAAGCAAACGGGGUUGCCCCAGUAGAAGUGAGGAUCGAUGUCCGAUACGCCAUUAGUGCGAAAGGUAGCCUGUCAUGCCAAUCUCGAUAGUUCACGACUGUCUUAGCCAAAAUCUUCUUAAUGUUCUUAUUGGCCGCUUCAACGGCCCCAUUCAUUUGAGGGCGAUAAGGAGACAAAUUUAGAUGCUUGAUUUUGAACUCUUUGAACUACUCAUCAACAAGUUUGUUAUUCAAAUUGGUCCCAUUAUCAGUGAUGAUUGCUUUAGGGACACCAUAGCGAGCAAUUACAUCACAUUUAACAAACUUCACAACAUUAUGAGCAGUGACACUUGCAAAGGAUGUAGCUUCGAUCCAUUUGGAGAAAUAGUCUAUUGCCACCAAAAUGAAUCGAUGUCCAUUUGAAGCCUUGGGAUUGAUUGGGCCAAUCACAUCAAUACCCCACAUCAAGAAAGGCCAUGGCUCUGAAAACUGAUGCAGCUCAGUUGGAGGAACAUUUAUCUUAUUUCCAUGAAUUUGGCAGCGGUGACAACUUCGAACAUGCCGGAUGCAGUCACUUUCCAGUGUGAGCCAGUAGUAGCCUAACCUCAUAAUUUUCUUGGCUAACAUAUGUCCAUUCAUAUGUGGGUCACAUACUCCUUCAUGCACUUCUUGCAUGAUUUGAGUGGCUUUGACUGCAUCUAUACAUCGCAACAAGACAGAAUCGUAAGACCUCUUGUACAAAUUCUCACCACUGACGAAAAAUUUCGAGGCCAUCUUCAUGAUGUACUUCCUAUUAGCUUGAGUGCUUCCUUCGGGGAAUUCUUGUUUUUUAAUGUAAUUCAUGAUAUCGUAAUACCAUGGUUUUCCAUCAAGUUCUUCAAUCACAAUCAUACAAUAAGCUGGCUUCGGCAAAACUUCUAUUUUCAGGGGUUCAACCUCCAACCCAUCAGUGACUUGCAGCAUAGAGGACAACGUCGCCAGUGCAUCUGCAAAUUGAUUAUGAGACCUCGGCAAGUAUUGAAACGAAACUUCCUCGAAUUCUUUCACCAGAUUUUCUAAAUACUUAUGGUAUGGAAGUAACUUGGCAUCCUUGGUCUUCCAUUCUCCCACGGUCUGCAGUAUGAUUAGUGCGGAAUCUCCGAACACUUUUAACUUAACCACACCCAUCUCAAUUGCUGCUUGAAGCCCGAGGAUGCAAGCUUCAUACUCGGCCACAUUGUUAGUGCACGGAAAUAUCAAUUUUGCAGCUACCGGAUGGUGUUGUCCAUCUGGAGAUAUCAGAACUGCUCCAGUACCCGAACCGGAUAGGUUUACAGCUUCAUCAAAGAACAUCUUCCAUGAGUCUUCAUUUACACUCAAGACAUGGUCAUCAAGGAAACUGUCAUCAUCAUUAAGGACUCUUGAAUUCUCGGCCAAUAGAUCAGCAAUCGCUCAGCCUUUAACCGACUUUUGUGGCAUGAAUUGCACAUCAAAUUCCGAAAUCAAGAUUUGCCAUUUGGCUAACUUACCUACCAAAGCUGGUCGAUCAAGUAAGUACUUGAUAGGGUCGUUCUCAGUCACGAGGAAUGUUUGAUAAUGUAGUGUGUAUUGUCGUAACCUAUGCAACACCCACACCAAUGCCACACAAGUCUUUUCAACCUCAGAAUACUUCAACUCGAAUACGGUGAACUUCUUGCUGAGAUAAUAAAUGGCCCGUUCUUUUCUAUCAACAGGACUUUCUUAAGCCAACAUUGCGCCUAAUGAAUCACUAUGAAUAGUGAGGUAGAGAAUCAAAGGAUGCCCCGGUGAGGGUGGGACAAGAACUGGUGGGUUCAUCAAGUAUUGCUUCAGCUUGUUGAACGCUUCUCGACACUCAUCAUCCCAGUUGACUUGUGCAUUCUUCUUUAGAAGCUUGAAGAACGGCUUGGCAGUUUCAGAGAGUUGAGAAAUGAACCUUGCUAUGUAAUUCAAUCUCCCUAAAAGGCUCCGGACUUCUUUCACCGUUGAUGGAGGUUGCAAUUCACAUAUGGCCUUAGCCUUGGAAUGGUCGAUCUCAAUCCCUUUAUUGCUCACAAUAAAUCCGAGUAAUUUACCGGAUGUUGCUCCGAACACGCAUUUAGCGAGAUUUAGGUGAAGCUUGAACUCACGAAGUUGAUCGAACAACUUCUUCAAUGUUUCGAUGUGGCUUCUUCUUGGUCGGGUCUUCGCAAUCAUAUCAUCAAUAUAGACUUUAAUCUCAUUAUGCAUCGUAUCAUGAAAUAAUGCAACCAUGGCUCGCUGGUAGGUUGCCUUUGCAUUCUUGAGUCCGAAAGGCAUGACUUUAUACUGAAAGGUUCCCCAUGGGGUAAUAAAUGCAGUCUUUUCCUUGUCUUCCUCCUUCAUCCUUAUCUGAUUGUACCCAGAAAAACCAUCCAUAAAUGAGAAUAGUUCAAAGCCAGCAGUACUAUCCACAAGGACAUCUAUGUGUGGUAAUGGGAAAUCAUCUUUUGGACUAGCCUUAUUCAGAUCCCGAUAGUCAACACAAACUCGAACUCGACCGUCCUUCUUCAUCACCGGCACGAUAUUAGCCACCCAUUCAGGGUACUGUGAGACUUCAAUAAACCCCACAUUCAAAAGCUUCAUCACCUCUUCCUCUAUCUUCUUUGAGAGUUCGGGCUUAGUCCUCCGCAUCCUUUGCUUCUUAGGUGGCACAUCUGGAUUAGUAGGUAGGCAAUGCUCCACGAUUGACGGGUCUAGUCCAGGCAUGUCAGCGUAGGUCCAUGCAAAAAUGUCUUGAUAUUCCUUCAGUAAUUGAAUUAGGCGCUCAGCCUCAUCUUUGGGGAGACUCGCCCCAAUUUUUACUUCUUUGGCUUCUUCAAUGUCACUCAAAUUAAUAGUGACGGUCUGCUCAGAUGUGAGAGCUUUAGCUUUUUCAUGUUGUUCCCAGCUAUAUUGCACUUCAAUAGUCUUUGAUCGAGUCUUUAGGAUCAUCAUCAUUAGCACUUGUUGCAGUGGAUUGGACCAUUUCUACAUCUUUGCAUGCCAUAGGAUUGUUCCUGAAACAUGAGGUAGAUAAAUUAGAAAGACAAACAGAGUAAUCAACAUCUUUGCUUUUUUUUUUUUUUUAAAUCUUUGGCAAAACAUUUUUUUUGGAACAUUUUGACAUGAGGAAGCAUGAUGAAGCCUAGGCCUCAGAGUUCUCCUUGGAUUUUUCUUUUCUUUUAUCGGUUGGAUAUCAUCACCGGGCUGGUUUGGUGUACCUCAUCAUGCCCUCAAAAUAAAAUUUGUAAUUUCAUUGAAAUUCAUCAAUCGAUUACAUUUAUUGAAUGAAAAAAAAAUGCAACACUCAAUCAAUAAAAGAAGAAACUAAAAUCAUCAUUCAGAAAAUAAUAGAAAUUCCCACGCAAGGGAAUGUGCAAAAUCAAUAAAAUAGUUACUCUUGUGGGCCAAGGCCCAUCUCUUCAGGGGUCCUUCAUUAAUGGCUCCUAUGAUGAGGUUGUUGAAUAAGCUUGCAACUCCUUCCAGCUCAUCAUCAGGGUUCUCUGCUUUCGGGGGUGUCGGAUCAUCCAUGCCACCCCAUCCAUCUGGGACUAUCUCACUAGGAUCAAUGUAGUAGCUAGGAGGGGUUGAAUACUUCACCAGGUAAUCAAACUUGCCACUAGGCUGCCCCAAAGUGUCUAUCACUUCCGCUUCUUCAUGCAUCAUUCUUGGAGGACCAGGGAAUGUCUCGUGAAUGCUCGGGGGUAGUGGGUUUUGCCUCCCUCGCCCUUGGUUAGGUGGCGAGUUCCGCCUUUCUUGUCUUCGUCCUUCAGAACUUCCCCCACCUCGUCCAUGGUACCCUAAACCAGCAGAACGGAACCUCUGAGGGGCUUCAAUGGGGCUUCGAAUGCCCUGACCAUUUCUCCUAAGACCAUUGCCAGGGACGAAACCAUUCCCAACCAUUACUCUUCCCACCAUGAGAGUAACAUCUGAUACUUCAGGGGUAGGUGGUGAUGAACCCCGAGAAGCAUGUAUGGUGGACACCAAUUCGAAUGAGUGGUAACUUGAUCCAAACCGUGAAUCCGGUUCUACAUAGGGGAUAGCCGUCUCAUGAUAGAUCCGGUGGUCUUCCUCACCAUACACGGUGACCAACUUCUUUUCGAUCACAAAUUUCACAGCUUGAUGUAGACUUGAAGGUACUGCUCCAGCAGUGUGUAUCCAGGGACGACCUAGCAAGAAAUUGAAUGCAGUAGGGAUGUCUAGCACUUGGAAGGGAAUGUUGAAGACGACCGGCCCUAUUUGGACAUCGAGAUGGAUUUCCCCGAUCACCUCCUUUUUUGUUCCAUCGAAAGCUCGCACCGAAGUCUUCACGGCAUGUAUCCUUGACGGGUCUACCUUAAGAUGGUGAAGAGUGGCCAACGGACAAAUGUUCAGAGCGGACCCAUUAUCGAUGAGCACUUGGGACAUAUGAGAAGACUUGUGCUUAACGGAUAUGUAGAGUGCUUUGUUAUGUCCCCUGCCUUCGAGAGGGAAUUCCUCAUCAGAGAAGGCAAUCAAAUCCUUGAGAAGGACCGAUCCCAUGAAUUCUUCUAGCUUGUAUGCUUCCACAAUCUCUGGCACAUGGAUUUCACUCAACACCUUCAUUAGUGACUUUUGAUGCACGGGGGACGUCAUCAAGAGCUCGAGUAGGGAGAUCUGAGUAGGCAUCUUUCAUAGUUGGUCAACCACGUUAUACUUGCUUGCUUUGAUUACGGCCAGAAACUCCUUAGCCUCUUCAUUGGUGACCGGCUUUGCAGGUUGAGUAAUGGCUUGACCAUAAGUCCGUCCAGACCUUGUAACAAGGUCCACAUCCAAGUCAUAGGACCAAGGCACUGCCUUAUUAUUGACAUACUCAUACGACUGAGGCACCUCUAUCACUAUCUCUUCGUCAAAUGCAUCCUCUAAUGGGGGCAUGUCUUCAAGCGAAGGAUCAACCUCUUUCUUAUCAGCAUCAAGUGUAGCCUGCUCCUCCUCCCAAUCGAUGAUGAGGUGGGAGAUAGUAGAAACUAUACAGUUAUGAUCAGCAUACACAAUGAUGCCAUCAUCCAUCAUUUUGGCAACUCUUUCUCUCAUCACCGAUAGAGGGACAUCUUCCUAACCUCGGUAAUACCCAGCUCUCACUAGCCCGUUGUAGGCAUCUGCCACGUGCACCUUUGAGUUCCUGAUCCGUCCGACUUCAGGUUCCAGGAUGGCAUUCACUGUACCCUCAUGCUUUGGUAGCAGAUUUUUUUGAACGUUCGGCCGAGUAGUUUGAAAUGAAAAGGCCUUUGUAUCUAAGAUAUUCUGGAUCUUGUGCUUGAGAGUGAAACAUUCAUCAGUUGAAUGCCCUAGUUCACCGUUAUGGUAGUCACACUUCUUCGUCGGGUCGUAACCACGAAUGCCUUCACGGUUAAGGCACUUUGGUUCACUAGUAAGCAAAUCUUUCUUUUGGAGGACUGUCAGUACUUGGGAUGGAGACCUAGGGAGAGGGGAGAACUGCCUUCUAUUAUUCGCUUGGGCGAAUGAUUGACGGCCAGCGGGUUGUUGUUGUCUUGGGUUCACUUGUAUAGCCAGGGCACGUUUGGCACUUUCUUGGCUAUAAGCCACAUUUACAUCCACGGCCGCUUCCUUCUCCUUCUUAGUAGAGAACCUUUUAGUAGAUGGCUCAGAAAACCAUCAUUCCCUUAUUCCCAUCUCAAUCUGUUCUCCUACAGGAAUAAGCUGAUUGAAGCUCUCAACAUAUGUACUGGCCAUUCGAUUACGGAACUCAGAUGGAAGGGUCUUCACGAACAACUUCAUCAACUCCUUGUUGGUAGGCUCAAGAGUAAUUUGAGCCGCCAAGUUUCUCCAUCUCAUAGCAUAUUCUUUAAAUGACUCACUCCUUUUUUUUUCCAUCCGCUCCAGGUCUUCUUGGGAAGGCGCGAUGUCCAUGUUGAACUUGUACUGCUUGAGGAAUGCGUCCGCCACUUCGUUCCAGGUUUCGAGGAGGUUUACGUUCUUCAUCACGUACCAGUUUAGUGUGGGCCCGGUCAAACUCGCAUGAAACGAUUGGAUCAUAAGGGGCUCAUUUUUUACGUGCUAGGCCAUGCGCACGUGGUACAUCUACAAAUGAGACUUCGGACAAGAUGUCCCGUUGUACUUCUCGAACUUUGGCAUUUUGAACUUGCUCGGCAUUUUAACCUUCUCAUAGAUCGAGAGGUCAAACGGGAGUGAGCUUUGAGACUCCUGCAGCUGUCUCACUUUCUCUUCUAGCUUUGCAACGCGGUCAUCCUGAUCUGUCUUGGGAACCAUGUCAUCUUCUAGCUCGGGCAUUUCGUCAUCACUCAUUUGGGCCCUAUUUGCUUGCCUCGGGACUAUUAUCUCGGGGAGAGCGGGUGGAGGAAUCCGGUUCAUUUGGAGGGAUUGGAGUUGAGCUAUUACGAGCUGCAAGGAAGUAGCUAAUUGUUUGAGUUGAUCUUUCACAGAGGACAUGCGAUUGCGCAUCUUGUUUUGGUCAGCCAUCUUAGCCUUUGAUCGCGUAAUAAUGGGAGAGCGCGGAGGAUCCGUUAUUACAUGAUGGAAUAAAUGAAUACACAUAAGUACUUCAUAUAAAACAAUGUCGGUCCAUGACGAAAGUCUAACUGCUUUUAUUCAUUAUUAAAAUUGUUUGACAUUAAUAAUGUAAAGAGCUUGCAAAAUCUUAAACUAAUCAAGUAAACGACUCAACUUCCUAAACAUUAAGUUAAAGUAAAAAGAUCGAAUAGAUUCAAGCCACUUUAUUUGGCCUGAUCUAUAAAUAUAUGGGAAGCCAAUGCUCGACGUAAUUGCCUCUUCUCUUUAGCGUCUUUCUUGGCUUGCUCUUCAAGUUCUUCAAUCUUCCUCUUGUGAUGACUAAGCUCUACUUGUCGAGUGGGCUUCUCGGUCACAUUUGGCACCUUUGGGAGAUACUCGGUCGGAAUCUUGUGCUGACGGAUGUAUCGAGCCGUGGCAUAGUAAGUCUUCUCCUUCCCCUCGAGCUCAUCUUCAGGUAAGCUCAACUUUUGUUCACGACAUGCAAUCCAAACUUGUUCGAUACAGCGGAGUUCCUUCUUGUGAUCGCCAUCCUUAGCAGUGAAUUGGACUUGGAACAAACCCAGCUUGAGAGGGGGCGGUAGAUCCUGCACAACUCGAUAUUGACGAGCCACUCGGAGUGGGUAGUAGGAAGUGACAUCGGUGAUCCCCAAUAGCGGGAUUGGCUCAUCAUCCCAUGAGAGAGACGUGCUUUGGAGACUUGGAACCAUUUAGCAUGCCAUAGAAAAAUCUUGGUAUUCGGAUUUUUCAAUAAUUUGACCCAUUUUGAGUAAGAAAGAUUUGGAGUUUGAUCCCGACGAUUUUUAAAUACUUCGAUGGGAUGAUGGAAAUCAGUGACAUUAAUAAUAUCCAUGCGAAUAUUGACCUUACUCAUAUGAGAAAAGAACCAGAUUUGUAAAAGCUCGAUUGGUGCACGAAAGGUUUUAUCUUCAUCUUCCUUAAAUCGGGUGAGUGACAAAAAUGUUUCAGCUGGAAUAGUAUUGACAAAACUGAUCUUAGCACACACUUGCUUGACCACCCAUGCGAUAGAUGGAUUAAUGGCGCCCUUAUGAAGAGGGAAAAUAACAAAUCCGAAAAAAGCUAGGAGGAAAAUCCUACUUUUUAAGAGAGUGUUAGCACUGGCAAAAAUCUGAUCUAGGAAAGAAAAAGGACAUGCAAGACAAUUAUCUUUCAGCACUCUUUUUAUCAAAUUCUUACCCAUCUUAAGAAAAUCUGACAAAAUUGAUUAUGGUUCUAAUCCGAUGGGUGGAUUUAUUAAUUCCAAUUCCAAGGGUUUUCCUAUGGCGAUGCUGUAUUCUUCGAGAGUCGGAGUCAGCUCAUGCUUACCGAAUAUAAAUGUUGAUGUUCGGGGGCUCCAGAAAUGAGCAAGUGCUUGCAUGAUGCCACUCUGGACAUCAACGUCAAGGAGGGGAACAAGGCGACCAAGUUUGCUCUCUACAUAGCUUUGGCCCUCGUGGCCUAGAAGAUCCCACCAUGAUUUGAGUUCAACCUUUGGUGCUGGCACAAAUCGAAUGUCGGAUUUUCCCAUUGUUUAUAGACCAGGACUCGACCAACCUAAUGUCAUGGACCAACCAAAUACAUAAAUAAAUAAAUUGCAAGAGUAAAGGAUAGUGAGCUUACUUUACCAUACGAUUAAAGCAACCACAUAGACAAACGCAUGAAGUGUGAGGCUCGAUUUCUAUCUAGACGGGCUUAGCAAAGUGGAGUUAAAAGGGUGGGAUGACUUAGUUGCAGCCUCGCAUACCAAGUCACGUCCUCCUAACUUCCGGCUCAGUCAUGAAUCAUACCCCAAUGCAACGCAGCCUCGCGGGCAGAGGUAAACAUUCUUGACACCAAGAAAAACUUUCGGGAUUGAGUUGGGCAACCUCUAUUACGUGGCCUCGCGGUCGAAGUUGUAUCCAACUCAAUACCAUCAUAAAUAUCCUAGUGCAGCCCAGGUCUGGCGGCAGGUUGUGUGUGCAAUAAUGUAGUGUUGAAUGCAAGACAUGCACAACAAUUUAGAUCAAGCAACACUUCAACAUGAAAAUAAACCAUACAUUCCUUCACCUCCCUACAAAACAGAGGUUAACAAACGCUUCCCCUUAUACCUCCCAAUCUGCAAAAAACAUUUAACACCUUAAAUGUUAGGGACGUACCUGGGAUCCUCGCUGCCAAACAAAAACAUUUUUUCAAAAGAAAAGAAAAAUUGGCCUAAGUCCACUAAGAGUUUCUACUCAAAUCCCCAGCGGAGUCGCCAAGCUGUCGCGACCAAAAUUUUUCGGGUGUGAACCACCUAGGGUUUGGCUAAUGGAUUGUUAAGCCUAAACUUAACUCGGACUCUCCCAAGCCCAUACCAAUUCGCGACUUAGGUUCAAGUUCUUAACACGCAAUUGAUUUUUUAAUCAGGAGUCGCCACUAAUCUAUUUUUUUGGUGGGUCGAUUAGUAACCCAAGUAAAGUAAUGGGAGUUUCACUUUACUCCUACGAACCAGAGACUAUGGGUACAUGAACUUGGUUACACUAGAUUUCUCUAAUGCCAUUUCGGUACCAUUCUUUUAUUUUCAAAAAAUGUUUUUGCAGGCAGCUUAAAUUGAUUUUAAAUUUAUUUUCUAACAUGUGAGGUGAUCACACGGGUGCGCAAUCCACCAAUUUAACACCUAGAUAAACAAUAAAUAAAUUGCAAAAACUUACCUCAAAGCAACGAAAGCAUCUGCAAUAUUAAGUUAAAAACCGUAUUAACAACCCUAGAUAUGGUUUCUAAUUACCACGCAAUUUCUUUUUUUGUUUUCACUUAAUUAAUGAAAAUCAUGCAAUAUGCAAUGCAAUAUUAACUAAAUGACCUAAUUCUAAUGACAUGCAAUUUCUAGUUAAAUAGGCCUAGCAAAAAUACUAAAUGACAUGCAUCCCAGUGAAUCUAGCCCUAAUGACGUGCAUAUGCCAUUUUUCUCUUUUUCCUAAAAUAAUGCAUUUUAUCAUAAACAAUAAAACUAAUUUAACCUAUGGCAUUUUUUUUUUGUAUUUUUCAGGUGAAAUGUGAAAAUUACCUAAUUAGAUUAAGAUCCUAUUUAAUUUAUAUUAGGAAUUAGGUUGAGCCAAAUCCUAAUUUAAACUAAAACAUUAUCUUAACCUAAAUAAUCCUAAAAUGCAAUAUAUCUAAAAAAUACCUAAACUUAUAACAAAUUAAGAAAAAAUAUUAUCUAGAAUUGAACUAAGUGCAAUUUAGUCCUAAUAUGCAAUGACGUGCAAAAUAUACUUUAACACUACAUGACAUGUAUAUGAUGAUUUUUGUUUUGUUUUUGUUUAAUUUCGAAAUUAAUAAUUGCCAAAUAAUUAAACAUGCAAUCCAAAUUACAAAUCUAGCAACCUAAAUUGAGUGAUUUGAUUUUUUAUUUUAUUUUAGAUUUUAAAAUUCGAAAUAAGAUUCCUAUUCUAAAUAUGUAAGCCCUAAAACAUGCAAUAUUAUAACCCAAACACAUUUCAAGAUAAACAAAGCGAUCAUGACAAGCUAAACCAAGGAUAUCACACAUCAUUCAGAUCAUAGGUAAAAUUUCGCUAGUAAAAUCGAUAAAUUGAUCUUAAGCCUUAAAGAUCAAAAUAUCAAUUUUAUUCCCGCUUGAUUAAUUACUUCAUCUAAAGCCUUAUAGACGAAAUAAAAAUCCAAGCGCGGUUGCAAAUCAGGUGAUAUGUUGGAAUUUCCAAUCAUAUAUUAAAGACUAAUUAUACUAAAAAAACAAGAUAAAGUAAAAUAAAAUAAAAUAAAAUAAAAAGAAAAAACUACCUGAUGUGCUUUCUUUUGUUUUUUUAAAGCAAAGAUGAUGGUUGCGUUGGUAAGGGGAUUCAUCGGCAGCAGACUCUGGCGAGAGCAGCAAGGGUAGCUACCGGCGAGGGACUCCAGCGAAGCAGGGCGACGGUGAGCAGCGGCGGGGGAGGCUCCGGUGGCGUCGGGUUGCGGCAGGGACAGCAACGCGGCGACGGCUAAGUGUUGGGCGGAGGCGAGCAGGGGCGAUGUGGUCUCCGGGUUGCGGGCUUCAAAUGGUGGGGCGCUGCAGGGACGGCAGGGGGCCUCGGGUAGCUGGUGUGGCGAGGUCGGGAGCGGCAGGCUUUGGAGCUCCGGCGUCGGCUGGGCAGGAGUGCGAUUGUCGGGGCGAACCUCGCGAGCGGAGCAGGGGCGUUGCAGUGGCGCGGCUUCGGCGAGGGCGGGAGCGCGGUCGUCGAGACGCCUGGUGUUCGGUGCUGCUGGUGCGGAGUGACGAUGAGUGGCGAAUGGAGUGGCUGUGUUGCUGCGUGUCAGGGGCGAAUCCGACGAGGCGACGGUGGCGGAGGCGCGGUGAUGCUCGGGGGGAGCGGCGAGACCGGUAGCAGGGCGUCGCGGGUCACGUGGAGCGGGAGCAGCAGGAGCGUCUCGGUGUCAAGGCAGCUGCGGCGGCAGCCGGCACAGCGAAGGCUGGCAGGUGGAACGGUGAGGGCAGACUCGGAGAAGAUGAUGAACAAGAGAUUUUUUUUUUUCCUUCUCUCUCUUCUCUCACGUCACUUCCUACGUCUCCUCUCUCUAUCUCAUCUCUCUGCUGUAUUUUCUUUUUGACUUUUGACUUCUCCCUUCUCCCCAAAACUAAAGAAUUGAUUUUCUUUGGGGUCUUUGAGCUUAAAAACCCGAAAGAAAAAGCACUCCUCACGUUUUUUGCUCUGAAAAUUCUUUCUUGAAUUUACUCUCGAAUUUUUUUGAAAAUCGCCCCCCUCAUACGAAAAAUGAAGCUAUCUUUUAUACUAAUUCCGAACGGCCGCUUUGUAUGGCAUUUUUCAAGUUUCCAUCUUCUGUCGCAUUCAAUCAAAGUUGCAAAUCAGAGCAUGAUUUCACAAUCAGCUCGAUCUUGCUUAGAUUUCUUCCAAUUUGCAAAAUUCUUGCCUCUUAUUCACUUGAUUUUAAAUUGCUUCUACAUUUAACGAAAUCCGAAUGCUCAUCAAAAUUGCAAAUUUCCAUGCAUAAUCAAUCAAAUAAAUUUCCCCUAUCUUUUUCAUUUUUUUUCCUUUUAUUUGUUCCAAUGCAAUUUUUAUUUUCCCUAUUUUCCUAGAUUUGCUAAAAACAGGUGUCAACAGUCUUCCAACAAAAAAUGCAUAAUUCACUAUUUAAUUCUUAGUGAUCGGAAAUGAAUAUUAAAUUAGUGAUGUAUGAUCAUGGAUCGGUAAUGUGCUGGCCUUGAACCAUACGGAUGGAUUAGAUGUCGACUGGAAUGAGCUCAGGGAUAGACUUGGCUAUUUCAUCACUAAUUUUAAAGUCCAUGAGUGCCUUGGCUUAGUGCUAGGCCUUGGCCAGCCUUAAGAUUAGCCUUGAAUCGAUUGAAAAACAACCAACCACUAACCCUUUAGGCCGACUGAUCGUCUAAGGGAAUGGUUUGGUUGAGUGUUGGACACAAUUGUCGAACCUCGGGUGUAUGUGAUUCAGUUUUUCGAGGUGUAUCUAAUGAUCUUUUUCUCGGCUUCGAAACUAACUUAGACGAUGGAAUUCUCUAGACCACAUUCUUGAUGAAGAAAAUGACAAAAUUGAAGAAAACUCUAGAACACCCUCAUUAAUGAAGGAGGUGAUGUAUUCUUUGACUUUUCAAAAGUAAUGAUGAGGUUGAGGAUUUUCUUGAUGGGCAAGAAAAAGAUGGCAUACACAUGGACCAAUCGGAGAGCGAUACAUGAACUCCUCAUAAUGACUGAAGAAUCUAGAAGCCAAGUUGGCAACUUUGAUGGCAUCUUAUCCAAACUUCAUUAAAUGUGGGGUACAAGUGGUCCAAUGAAAUGGUGAAAAGCGAGCCAUCAUCGAUGAUGCCUGCAAGCUAAAUUUGCUAAGUGUGACCUUUUAGGCGUCCAACUCAUUCCUUAGGCGUAAUAAUUAGACAAAUAGACUUGCCAACUAAGGAUCUUAGGUAGGACACUUGGAAAAUUGAGAAUGGACCAUUUAGCUCGAUAAUGAUGGCGCCGAGUAGUAUAAAUGGGAGGACCCCUCCUCAUUUUUCACCAUGCCAUUCACUUUCUCAUUUACUCCUCCAUUUUCUUUUUCUCGGCCUUACAUCCUCAAUCCCUCAAGCUAAUUUAAGUUAGUCUUCAAGGUUCACCAAGGUAAGUAAGAUUCCUCUUUUUUCUCUACGAAGUAGAUCCCAUUGUUGAGACUAGUUAAGUGCCCACCUGUCAAGCCAUGGGUAGUGUAGAAUGUCUUUUGUUGAUCUUGCUUGCUAUAGGACAUGUCCGUGUGAUUGAGUCAUUUAUGUCCAGAAUGAAACUGAGGUUCGAUUGGAUUGAGUUCAUCACAAGACAAAAUCGCCAAGCCAUAAAGCCUUGGUUUUGGCAUAGAUAAGAUGCCGGGUCCAAGUCUCGCUUCGUGUGGAAAUCGCUCGAGAUUGCAAGGUCAUAAAUCGACAUUGAGGCAUGUCAAUUUUAUGCCUUGAUCGAUAUGGAGAUCGUCCAAAUCCACGAGGUCUUGGUAAGGCACCAAAGCAUGCCGAUUUCCAUAGUUCAAAUGGACGCGGGGCCAUUGUACUUGGCGUUGGAUCAAACUACGAGCUGAGGCUCAUUCAUGAUACAUGUUUAUUUACAUCGGGUCAAAGCUGAGGUCCAUCAAGCUUGGGAUCGUCACUUAAGCAAGGUGUACCAAAGCCUCAAGGUCUUGAAUCGGUAUUGAGGCAUACUGUUUCCGAGCCUUGUUUGGUGCGGGGAUUGAUGCUAAGUGAUUGAUUCAAGUUACGGACCAAAGACUGUUCCCGACAUAUUUGCUAAUGAAGUAUAGGAAAUUCAUGAUACAUAUGAAUGAAUGAGCACACCUUCGGGUCAUGCAUGUGUCAGAUAAGAGAAAAGACAAGAACUGACUUGUAUGAUGCAUUUAUGCAUGUACUUAAAGAGAAAAAGUGCCCAUCACCACACAUCGUUGGCGGUGAUGCGUUGUUAAUUGAAUGAGAUGCCUUAGUUGAGUCAGGAUGCUUGGGUCUUGAACCCAGAAGCCUUGAGAAGCUAGCAACCAGAAGUCUUGGUCGAGUCAAGAUGCCCUGGUCGAGCUAGGAAGUCUAGCUAAAAGUUGGAAGCCCUAGUUGAGCUGGGAGGGCUUGAUUGAGCCAGGAUGACGCUAAAUGAAUUUGCAUAAGUGUCGGUAUAUGCAUAAGUAUGAUAUGUUGAUAUAUUUAUUGAUAAGCCAAAUGUAAGUAUGCAUUGAAGCAUGUUGCGAUGGACAUUUGCAUGUAGUCAAGGGUAGCAACAAGUUUGUUAUUGAUGUACCAUCAAUAUUGUUUGCGAGUGUUGUACUUACUAAGCUUCGAUGAUGAGAUGCUUUCCUAGUAGAGAACUAGGAAUUUUACUUACUAAGUUUCCCCAAAACUCACUCCUUUAUCUUUCAGUUUUGUAAGCAUGAAAGUCUUAUGUUAGUGUUGAGAGCUGCAAUCAUGCUAGAAGAGAUAGGAAUUCUCUUGGCCAAAUGGAAAACUUAUUGAGUGAUGCAAAAAGAAGAGAGGGCCCGUAAAGAAAUGGUUUGUAAAAGUAUUAUUAUAAUAUAAAUCAGUGUGUUUUGUGUGAUGUAUGUCCCACACUUCCAGCUAUUGUUUGUUUGGGGAGUUAUUUGUUUACGUUUUCACAUGUGCAUGAUAACAAGAUAAAAAGAAUUGGAACAUCGACGAGCUUGGGAUGUCGUGAAAAUAACCCUUGUUGGAGUUGGGAUUGUGACACCUUGCACUUGCCCUCACUCACUUUAGGCAUGGGUGGCUACUAUACCAGCCUAUCCUGCGGUAGCCAAGACCGAAAUAUCGACAUGGAGUCUAUCUUCCCCACCAUGAGGCCUCCUAAUCCCACCUCUAAUUUUGUCUUCCUGAGGUGGAGGGAAUAGGGGGUGACAUUGCGGGUCUCCCACCCCUGAGCGGUUCUCCCACCUGUUUCUUUCCCAUGAGCCUUUUAAGGACUUGCUCAGGUUCAUAAUUCGAGAAAUUAUAAGUACCAAAAGAAGUUAUUCAGUUGUCGGUCGCUCUUCUCCUUGCAUGAAGACCGGAGGAUUUUUUUUUUUUUUUGGAUGAAUUGGGCUGCUAGACAUGUCACAACACAAACUUUGUUACAUCAAUUUGCUCAAUUUGGAUUGUGGCCAUUAUUAUAUGUUCGGUUCACAAACAAGCAGCAUUGAUGCUACGUAUAGAAGGAUUGUACCUCUCAAUUCCUAUGAGCAGAUGCAUUACAAGACUACACUGCUAAAAAAACUUAUUGAGAUCCCUUGGAUAAACGAAAUCACGUUGAAGGUGCAAAGUUUAUCAGUAAUUAAGCGAUUGGACAACCGCUUUGAAAAACUAGUAAAAGUUCAAUUAAAAUCGAUAUAUCAUGCAAUAGGAGCCUAGAUUGGAAUCCGAGUGGACAAGUAUGUUCUAUCUGAUAACUGCUUUUGUUAGUUUGAUAAGAAACGGACUUGCGAAUUAGGCAGGAACCAUUCUUUUACAUUUUCUGUUAAACUAACUUUUAGGACUGUUUCUGGCACUUAACAAACAAAUAAAAAUAAAAUAUAUUGCACACUCGGAUUCCGCACCAAUCUACUCAAAUAUAUUCUUAUAAUUUGUUAACUAAAAGAAGCCGACUCGUAAAGGAGAUACAGCCUGGAAGGGACAAUUGAUUCACGUCACAUUUUCUAAUACCUGAAACCGACCUUCGAUCCUGGAAAGAUUGUUUGGGAUUCAUAUAUAGGAGCACGAGGUUUUUCACUAUAGGUGUCCUCAAAUGCUGCCUGUCCAUACAUUGGAAAGGAGCUAAAAAAGAAAAGAAAGAAUACUUUGGUGGUCGAGGAAGUUCUAUAUGUGCCUUUAUCCAGGUUAUUCACUAGGUGUCCUCAAAUACUACCUGUCCGUACGUUGGAAAGGAGAUAAAAAGAAAAGAAAGAAUACUCUGGUAAUCGAGGAAGUUCUAUAUGUGCCUUUAUCCCUUGAUAUUUUUUUAAGUCUUGGACUUCAUACAUGGAAGAAUCCAUGUCAUAGAAAAUUCAUGAUGCUAAUGAAACUUGAGCUAUAAGAGAUGAGGGUGCAAUCCAGCUUACUUGAUUAAAUGUUCUCAAUUAUCAAAAGUUAAGCUCUCGAUAUGAGAAAAGUUCUUUUUCUAAUGAAUAUACGUACUGUUAUUAUUUUCAAAAUCAUGUGCAGAUAUGACAAUCUUUAAUUUCUCUCUAAUUAUCAAAUUAAGGACGUGUUUGAUAGCAAUAUCAAGUGUGUUCGAUCACCUCUGAUAACACAAAACUCAAUCAAUUGUUUUGGGUCUAAACAACUUCAUGCAACUAGUAAGGAAGGGAUUACUAAAUUAAUUAAGUUAUCAAAUACCCAAUGAAAAUUAAAGUAUCACUAAUGACAUUGCAAAACCUUUUUCCAAUAAUGUUCCCUAUUCCAUGCUUGGUAAGAAAUAAAAACAAGGGUGGUGUGUUAAGGAGUGAUGCUCAUGAGUAAGUAUUAGGCCACUAUAACUUCUUAUGAUUUCAAAACUCAAAAUGAUAUUAGCUUCUCCCAAGUCCUUCAUAUCAAAUUUAGAAGUCAAAAAGCAUUUCAUUAAAUCACAGUAUCAAUGAUUUUAAAAGAAUAAGCAUGUCAUCAACAUAUAAGCUAAUAAUUAUAGGUUCACUAUCAGCAGUUUUUGUUUAUACACAUUUAUCUACUUCAAUAGAGGAAAAUUCAUUGUUGACUAGAACUUAGUCAAUUUUCUCAUUCCAUUAUUUUGGUGCUUGCUUUAGGCCAUAUAAGACUUUAAGGGGGGAAAGUGUCAUACAAGUUCUAAGCCUAUUGCAUUUAUGUCAAUUUUAUUCUAAACAUUUUAUUUAUGCCAAUUUAGUCAUAAUCAUUUGACCUAGUGUCAAUUCAAUGUAUAUAUUUUGAUCUAGCACUAAUUCAGUUUUUUUAAGCUAUUUUUGGCCGGAUAUUACUGACGUUGACUCUAGUCAGCCUAUGUGGCAUGGUGGGUGUUAACUUGGAUAAAUUUUAAUAUUAUUUUAAUAUUUUUUGAAUUAUUUAUUCAUUUUUCCUUUUCUUUCUCUUUUUUUCCCCUUCCUCUUCCUCCAGCAGACCUUUGGCUAGCCUCGUCAGAUCUAGCGAGGGUAGAUCCUUGUCGGCCAUGGGAUUAAGUUGGCACUAAUAAAAGGUUUAUGACUAAAUUAGUAUCAACGUAAUAAGUUUACAAACUUUGUUUUCUUAGCCAGGAAGAGUACAUUGCUCAUGUUACUAAUGUUUAGUGUGGGAUUCUAAUUCAACAAGACCUAUAUGCUCUCGACAUAUCCUUAAAUUUGUUGAUUGAAAAUGCAAAGUCGGAAAGGUGAUUCAGCUAUUGCAAGAAUCAAUUCCAUCCAUAGCAUAUUCCUAAUAUGUACUUUGAACCAAUCUUAAAAUGAUAUUAUACGGUGUAUAAAUAGGAGUAUAAUAUGUUCACAUGUAUCUACGUCAGGCAAAGUGGAAAAGAAGAAUAUACUUUUUGGUAAUAAAAUUUUAGAAUUCGUUGAUAUUUUGGACUGUGCUAUUAUUAUGGAAGGUUCUAUUCUUAGCAUAAAAAAUCAUGAUGCUUAUAAACUCAAACUACAAGAAAAAUGUGGGCAUGACUCCAUUGCACUUCAUUUACUACCCUCACAGUCCCAAUUUGUCACGAGUUUGGCUCUGGAACUGUCUUUCAAAAUAUUCAGCAGGCGGCAAAAGUCUCCAAUAAUUAGCAUCACGCACGUGAAAGUGGAGGGUAUUGAGCUUGUAUAAUAGUAGGACGCUGAGAAGGCAUAGAGCAAGUCAAUGCCAUCCUAUAUUUUGAAGUACAGUAAAGGUGAAAAUUCUUCAAAAAUCAAAACUUUAGAAUUCUAGAACUUUUCCUCUUAAUUUUAGGACCAAGGUAGCAUUUCCUAGCAAUUACCUUUGGAAACCAUCUGAAUGUGGGUACUAAGAGCCUUCCUUUAUUCCUUCUACAUUGGCAUGGCACUUUCCAUGAGCUCUAUAUAAACUGAUCUUCGCCUUCGAACUUGAACACAAGAAAGAAACCAAAUCCAAAGCUUACACAAAACUUUGUUCUCUAGCUCACUCUCCUUCUACUAACUCACCUCAAUGGCACCUCAGGGAGAUCGCCUCGCUGAUAUUGGAAGGGAGGGUUUUGCACUACUAGACAUAUUUUAUGGUGGAGGAAAAUCAGGUCCAGCACCGAAGAAGCCAUGCAAUGUCCCACAGCAGCAUGCUCCCAUUCCCAACAACAAGAACAUAAUCGAUAGCGAGAAGGCCGCCGAAAGAUACAAAGGAGUGGUGGUCGUGGAGUCCCGCAAGAAGAAGAGGUUUGCCUGCUGAUGUUUUUAGGUUCUAGCGCUGUAACCGGAUGAACAAGUCCACGUCACUGUUUUCGUCAUACCAGUCAUUUCAAACUCUAGUACUGUGUUUUUUUAAUUUAUUUUAUUUUAAACUUUUGUUUUCUGGCCUUCUGAAGUUUAGCUGUGCACUAGGAUGUGUCUAAGCUAGUAAUUGGACUUGGGUUAUACUAAACACCCCGCGUUUUAUUCCUGUUUAGUUAGAAUAUCUAUGAUAUAACUAUUUACUUGAUUGGCGUGAAAAGAAUAUUCCAAUCGUUUCGACAGUGGAUGAUCACAACUUAAAUAACUUGCCAAAAACUAUCCUAGAACUACGUGGCCCAUUUAACACUCUGGUUCCAUUCUUGAGAUGCUCCUGCAUGAUUCAGUUCCUAAUAUUGACUAAGAUUUGAUAAAUACUUGCUGAAGCCGGAUCAUCCAAUUACGCAAGAUUCGGUUGUACAUCUAGCAAGCGCUUGCAACAUAUUGCAACAUAUAACUACACAGAUGGACCAUUCUUUGAUUUAUUGGUGCAAUUGCAUUUUUUUUCUUGUCUAGGAUGCUAACUAUUCUCUAGGAUCAAAAGUCACUAUUAUUGUAGUCGAGAAAUAUGUCCUCUAACUUCCAAGAUAUGCCAUCAAUUAUUCAGCUCCUAUUCAUAAAUUACAAGUAGCAAUCAUAAAAUAUCAGAGAUCCGCAUGUCAACAAGCAAAAGCUUCGACCAAAAAAAAAAAAAAAAACAAGCAAAAGCACGACCUUUACUUUUAGUGAAUUUAAAAGUGGUUCAUCUUAACCAACAGAACGAAAAGAAUAAAUGAAGGGGGACUCAUGAUGCACAUGUGAGGUUAACUCUGGGUGUCUCAGCUCAAAUACGCGUAGAUCUAAUUUUUAAGGCUCACGGAUUUCUCUUAAUUAUAAAGCAGUGCGCGUAAUCACUUUAGCAUGCUUUUUGGAUCCACUUUUGACUAGAAAGUUGGAAUUUAAACUUUUUUGCGUUGAUGAAGUUUCUCCGAUCUGUUGGUACCUGGUGGUGUGCAGAUGAAGGUUAGUAUGUGGCUACAAGCAGAAUAAUUAAGCUCUUGAAGAGAGAAUCAUUUGACUGGGAGGUUGUGAUAAGAGAAUCUUAAAACACUCAGAAAAGUUUCCACCGAGAGACGAUCAAUUUAAUGAAGCAAUAGAGUUGUUCCAGGCAUGCCAAACCGCUUUUACAUCCCUCCAAAAUCACCGAAGAUCUGAACCUAGAAAUUACAAGUACCAAAACAAGUGAUUCAGCUGCCGCUUGCUCCUCUCCUUGCAUGACGGCCGGAGGAUUCUUUAGAUGAGUCGAGCUGCUAAACAUGGCUCAGCACAAACUCGUUUCCUCAAUUUCGCUCAAUUUGGAUUGUGGCUAUUAUAGUGGGUUUAGCUCACUAAAAAGCAAUGUUGUCACUACAAAUAGGAUUGUACCUCUUAAAUCUCAUGAGCAGAUGCAUUAUGACCUUACACUGCUAAGAAAACUUAUUGAGAUCCCUUGAAGAAAAAAAUCACGUUGAGUGUACAAAAUAAUUGAUAAUUAAAAGAUUGGAGAGCCGCUUUUAAAAACUAGCAAGAUCAACUAGGGAUCGAUAUAUUAGGCAAUAGGGGUUUAGCUUGAAAUUCGAUGAGUUAAUUACGUUGGAAUCAUUCUUUCACAUUUUCUUUUACAUAGACUAACCUUUAUUAAUGUUUUUUGGGACUUAACCAACCAAAAAAAAAAAAAACAAAAAAAAAAUUAGUGCAUACUUUGUGGAAGCCCAUCGGGAGGGAAAAGUACCAAAAAAGUCAUAAACCUAUUGCAUUGGUACCAAUUUAAUCCUAAACUUUUUAAUUGGACCAAUUCAGUUAUAAACCUUUUUAUAUUGAUACCAAUUCAGUCCAUUCGGCCAAUUUUGGCCUGCCAGUGCUAACAUGGACAUCGGUCGAUGAUCGGACACUGACAUGGCAAUUUUUAAUUUUUUUUUUGAAUUUUUUCCUUUUUCUUUUCUUCCUUCUUUCUCCUUGGAUUGUUUUGACGGUGGACGGCGAGCCGUCAGCCAGGGUCGCGGCCCUCGCCUAGCCUCUCCUAAGGCUAUGGGCGAGGCCAGGCGAGGGCUGCGAUCCUCACUUACGGCUGGCAAGGGCCGCGAGGGCUUCGCGGCCCUCGCUUGGCCUCGCCCAGAUCUGGGCGAGGCCGGCCUUCCCUUGGCCUUGCCGUGGGCGAUGGUCGCCUUCAUCCGCGGCAAGGCCAGGGCGAGGCUGAGCGAGGGCCGCGAAGCCCUUGCCAGCCACCGGGGAGGGUUGCGGCCCUCACUUGGCCUCGCCCAGGGCCACGGGCGAGGCGGCUUUGCUCAAAUCUAGGCCAGGCCAGCCUCGCCCUGGCCUUGCCACGGGCGAUGGCCACCUUUGCCCACGGCAAGGCCUGCGAGGGCCGCGUUGGCCUCAUCGGCCAUGGGCAAGGCCACCUUCGCCCACGGCAAGGCUAGGGUGAGGCCAGCCUUGCCUUGGCCGUGGUCGGGCCCUUGCCUAUGGCUGGCAAGGCCAAGGCAAGGCUGGCCUUGCCUAAAUCUAGGCGAAGCUGCCUUGUUGAUGGUCCUGGGAGAGGCCGGGCUAGUCCAAGGAGGAAGAAGGAAGAAAAGAAAAGGAAAAAGAAAAGAAAAAGAAAAAAAGGAAAAGAAAUAGGAAAAAAUUCAAAAAAAUAUUUAAAAAAAUUGCCACGUUAGUGUCUGGUCACGGGCCAAUGUCCACGUUAGCGUCAGCACGCCAAAAUUGGCCGGAUGGACUGAAUUGGUACCGAUGUAAAAAAGUUUAGGACUAAAUUGAUUCAAUUGAAAAAUUUAUAACUGAAUUGAUACUAAUGUAAUAGGUUUAGGACUUUUUUGGUACUUUUCUCCCAUCGGAAUGCUGCUGGUGGUUGGCUCGUCGUGGAGGUUAUUCAUGUUGCGGAGAUGAGGGAGAAGGGAAGGUUCAUUCCGAUGGCUGCUUGGCACAAUAAAACCCUGGAGUUACUUCAAAUGGAAGGACAAACUGAUCGAUGAAAAGGGGUUUGGCGAAAGCGAAGGUCUUCCUAAAGAUAAAAAGUCUCAGACUGUUUGAAGGCAGGAGCUCAGUCACUGAUGGGCAACGGCGAAUGUGUCAUUGGCGCACGCAGUGUCUUACCCAAAAACGCUAGAGUUGGGGAAAGCUUUGGAGAAGAAAAUUUUCCGCCUGAGCAUUUUAGUCCGUUCUGUCUGAUCUGAUCAAAUUAGGCUUACAAAGAUAUCAAGUCUGUUUAUCGAGACUUAAUACGAACUCAAUCGUACUUGAUGGUGUUCAGAAUCAAACCUCUGUCCCUCCCAGUGUGGCUUUACAAAACUAAUCGAUGAAUAUGAGUCGUUAAAACAUGAUUAAAUGGACUAAAAGAGUCACGUUUUUUUUUUUUUUUAAGUAUUAUUUAUAGAUGAAUAGGUAGGUCUUACUCGCUUAUAAGACGAACAUAGUUAAAGAUGAUAACCGAUACUCUAAACUAUGUACUUUGUGCAUCUGUUGAUAUUCAACCAAGUCGUGAUUUCCAGCCUUACUCUUCACGACAAACUGAGAAAUGAUAACGCUUAAUUUUAUAUAAAUUUAAAAAAGAAGGAGAAUUAAGAUCCACUUGACAGAGUUAAUGCUUGAUGGACAUUAAUAAGGUUUAAAUUAUAGGGUUAAGUGGGAAUUUGAUUCCACACCAAUCUACUCAGACAUAUCUUGAUAAUUUGUUAACCAAAAGAGGCCGACUUGGAAAGUAGAUUCAAAUUGGAAGGGACAAUUGGUUCUCAACACGUGUCCUAAAUACUUUAAGCCCUCCUUCGGACUUGAAAAGAUUGUUUAGGAUUCAUCAAUAGACUAGAAGGUUGUCCAAAUCAAGGACGGGCGGUGACCGAGGAAGUUGUGCCUGCGGCUUCAUCCCUUGACAGAAUGUGUUUGUACAAGCGUCGAAAUCAGGCAAAGGAGAAAAGAAGAAGAAUAUAAUCUAAGGUUUGGCAGUUGUAGCUAUGCUUUAUACUAUACCUGCAAUGAUAUGGAAGGUACUGUUCUUAGCAUUAAAAGAUCACCGUGCUAACGAAACUUGAACGACAAGAAGAGGUGGGCACGAUUCCAUACGACUUCAUUAUCUAUCCACAGUCCCAAUUUGUCAAAAGUUUGGCUCCCGAACCAUUUUUCGAGAUCAUUUGCGGACGAGAAAGGCCUUCUUAAUCUCUCUCUCUAAAUACCUAGUUAUUGAAGUCUACUAGUCAUUAUAAUUGAUGGAAUAAGCUCCAUCAGACUUGCUGCGAUUCAACUGACCUCACUGGAAAUAUGUCAUCGGGCCAAUAAAACGCGGGUACUAGGAGCCUUCCUUUAUUCCUUCCGCAUUUCCGUGGCACUAUCCAUGAGCUCUAUAUAAACUGAUCUUGGCCUUCAAACUCGAACACAAGAAAGAAACCAAUCCAAAGCCCACGCAUAAGUUUCUAGUUUAACUCACUCUCCUUCUACUAUCUCACCCGCAAAUGGCACCUCAUGCCAAUCGUCUCGCCGAUAUCGGAAGGGAGGGUUUUGCUCUAGUGGACAGAUUUUAUGGUGAAGGGACAUCGGGUCCAGUACCAAAGAAGCAAUACAAAGUCCCAAAGCAGUAUGCUUCUGUUCCCAGUGACAAGAACGCAAUCGAUAGCAAGAAGGCCGCCGAAAAGUACAAAGGAACGGUGGUCACGAAGUACUACAAGAAGUUUAUUGGCUGGCGUUUCUAGGUUCUAGCACUGUAAACGUGUAAUGGUUCGAGUGACUUCCUAGAAGGUAGAGGUAACCGGAUGAAUAAGUCAUUGUCGUGGUUUUCACGGUUUUCCUCAGUCACUUCGAACUCUAGUACUGUGUUUAUGUAUAUCUUUUGUUUUUCAGCUUUCUGAAGUUUAAUUGUAUGCUUGGACAUGUCUAAGCUUUUAAUUGGACCCAUUUUACACUAUAUUCGACUUUUUAUUCCUCUCCUUGAUAAAAUUUAUCUCAAAUCUAUGGUAUACUCGGACACUGACCGGUAUGAAAAGAGGACUUCAAUCGUUUUCAAAGUGAAUGACCACAACUUAAAGAACUCGCCAAUUUUCUGCUCCAAGGACUGUCCAAGGACUAGCAGGCCAUUGGACACUCUGGUUCUAUUGCUGACUUGCUGCUGCAUGAUUGAAUUCAUAAUCUUGAGUAAUAUUUUCUAAGGACUCGCCAAAGAUGAACCAUCCAAUUACGCAAUAUACGGUAGUAAAUCCAGCUGGCGCUUGCAACAUAUAACUACACAGAUGGACCAUUCUUUGACUUUUUUGGUGCAAUUGCAUUCUUUCUCUUGUCUAGGAAGCUAAACUAUUUUCUAGGAUCAAAUAUCACUACUAUUGUAGUGGAAAAAUAUGUCCAAUAACUUCCUAGAUAUGUCACGAAUUAUUCACCUCUUAUUCAUAAAUUACAAGCAGCGAGCAUAAAAUAUUAGGGAUCUGCAUACUAACAAGCACAAGUUAUUUUCUUUUCUUUCUUGGAUGAAAGCGUGAAUAGUGAAUCUAAGUUCUUCAUCUAAACCAAAAGAACGACAAGAAUGAACGAAGGGGAACAGCUGAUGCACCACAUAUCAGGUUAACUCCAGGGGGUUCCUCAACUCAAAUAUGCAAAGAUCACUGAUCUCUAAGGCUCCAUCCACUUUUGACCAAAAAGGUUGAAUUUCUGAACCAUUUUGAGGGCUUUUGGCGAAGUGUCUUCAAUCUGUUGGUACCCCGGGCUGGGUAAAGAUGAAGUAUGUGGCUCUUUGGCGGAGAAGUUGACUUCUCCAAGAGAGAAUCAUAUGACUGGAAGGCCGUGAAAAAAUAAUCUUGAAACACUGAGCAAAAUUCCACCUAGAGACUAUCAAUGUGGUGAACCAAUAUUGUUAUUGCAGGCAUGCCAAACCACUUUUCGAUCCCUCCAAAACCACCAAAGAUCUUAAAGUCUAUAACCGGAGGUACGAUUGCUGGCAGUCAGUUUUAGACUUUACCAUUAAAGGUAGCCAGGUCGGAGCAGGCCUUGUGUAACACCCUCGAUUCCAACCCUGUGAAGAUCGGCCAUAAAGUCUUGAAUGGAUCGACCAUGAGCCAAUGGCUAUGGGAUCGACUGGUUUGAUCGGUAAGGAAUCAAUGAUUGGUCAUGGUCCAAUCGACAGAUCGACCGGCCAAGAAUUGGUCGAGAUGUCGGCCAUGAAUUGUCUAAUGACCAUACCGAUGGAAUAGGAUCACCAACUCAUAAGAUGAAUUUUUGAUAACGAGGACUAGUCACAAGGUGAUUUUGGAUCAGCGGAUGAUCAUGGGUCGAUCCGAUUGAUUGUAAUGCCCGGCCGUGAGUGAUUCUGCCCGACUAUGCAUUGAUACACAGACGAUGCGACUUUAUAAAUGUGAUUGUCUUCCAACAAAAAAUGCAUAAUUCCCUAUUUAAUUCUUAGUGAUCGGAAAUGAAUCUUAAAUUAGUGAUGUAUGAUCGUGGAUCGGUAAUGUGUUGACCAUGAACCAUACAGAUGGAUCGGAUGUCGACUGGAAUGAGCUCAGGGAUAGACUUGGCUAUUUCAUCACUAAUUUUAAAGUCCAUGAGUGCGUUGGCUUAGUGCUAGGCCAUGGCCAGCCUUAAGAUUAGCCUUGAAUCGAUUGAAAAACAACUGACCCUUUAGGCCGACUGAUCGUCUAAGGGAAUGGUUUGGUCGAGCAUUGGACACAAUUGUUGAACCUCGGGUGUAUGUGAUUCAGUUUUUCGAGGUGUAUCUAAUGAUCUUUUUCUCAGCUUCGAAAUUAACUUAGACGAUGGAAUUCUCUAGACCACAUUCUUGAUGAAGAAAAGGACAAAAUUGAAGAAAACUCCAGACACCCUCAUUAAUGAAGGAGGUGAUGUAUUUUUUGACUUUUCAAAAGUAACGAUGAGGUUGAGGAUUUUCUUGAUGGGCAAGAAAAAGAUGGCAUACACAUGGACCAAUCGGAGAGCGAUACAUGAACUCCUCAUUAAUGAUUGAAGAAUCUAGAUGCCAAGUUGGCAACUUUGAUGGCAUUAUAUCCAAACUUCAUUAAUUGCUCGUUAAAUGUGGGGUACAAGUGGUCCAAUGAAAUGGUGAAAAGUGAGCCAUCAUCGAUGAUGCUUGCAAGCCAAAUUUGUUAAGUGUGACCUUUUAGGAAUCCAACUCAUUCCUUAGGCACAAUAAUUAGACAAAUAGACUUGCCAACUAAGGAUCUUAGGUGGGACACUUGGAAAAUUGAGAAUGGACCAUUUAGCUCGGUAAUGAUGGCGCCGAGUAGUAUAAAUGGGAGGACCCCUCCUCAUUUUUCACCAUGCCAUUCACUUUCUCCUUUACUCCUCCAUUUUCUUUCUCUAGGCCUUGCAUCCUCAAUCCCUGAAGCUAAUUUAAGUUAGUCUUCAAGGUUCGCUAAGGUAAGUAAGAUUGCUAUUUUUUCUCUAAGAAGUAGAUCCCAUUGUUGAGACUAGUUAAGUGCUCACCCAUGAAGCCAUGGGUAGUGUACAAUGUCUUUUGUUGAUCUUGCUUGCUAUAGGACAUGGCCGUGUGAUUGAGUCAUUUAUGUCCGGAAUGAAACUGAGGUUCGAUUGGAUUGAGUUCAUCACAAGACAAAGUCGCCAAGCCAUAAAGCCUUGGUUUUGGCAUGGAUAAGAUGCCGAGUCCAAGUCUCACUUGGUGUGGAAAUCGCCCAAGACUGCAAGGUCCUAAAUCGACAUUGAGACAUGUCAAUUUUAUGCCUUGAUCGAUAUGGAGAUCGUCCAAAUCCACGAGGUCUUGGUAAGGCACCAAAGCAUGCCGAUUUCCAUAGUUCAAAUGGACGUGGGGCCAUUGUGCUUGGCGUUGGAUCAAACUAAGAGCUGAGGGUCAUUCACGAUACAUGUGUAUUUACAUUGGGUCAAAGCUGAGGUCCAUCAAGCUUGGGAUCGUCACUUAAGCAAGGUGUACCAAAGCCUCAAGGUCUUGAAUCGGUAUUGAGGCAUACUGUUUCCAAGCCUUGUUCGGUGUGGGGAUCGACGCUAAGUGAUUGAUUCAAGUUACGGAUCAAAGACCAUUCCCGACAUAUUUGCUAGUGAAGUAUAGGAAAUUCAUGAAUGAGCACACCUUCAGGUCAUGCAUGUGUCAGAUAAGAGAAAAGAUAAGAACUGACUUGUAUGAUGCAUUUAUGCAUGUACUUAAAGAGAAAAAGUGCCCGUCACCACACGGCGUUGGCGGCGAUGCAUUGUUAAUUGAAUGAGAUGCCUCGAUUGAGUUAGGAUGUCCUGGUUGAGUCAGGAUGCCUGGGUCUUGAACCCAGAAGCCUUGAGAAGCUAGCAUCGAGAAGUCUUGGUCGAGUCAAGAUGCCCUGGUUGAGCCGGGAAGUCUAGCUAAAAGCUGGAAGCCCCGGUCGAGCUGGGAGGGCUUGAUUGAGCCAGGACGAUGCUAAAUGAAUUUGCAUAAGUGCCGGUAUAUGCAUAAGUAUAAUAUGUUGAUAUAUUUAUUGAUAAGCCAAAUGUAAGUAUGCAUUGAAGCAUGUUGCGAUGGACAUUUGCAUGUAGUCAAGGGUAGCAACAAUUUUGCUAUUGAUGUACCAUCAAUAUUGUUUGCGAGUGUUGUACUUACUAAGCUUCGAUGAUGAGAUGCUUUCCUAGUAGAGAACUAGGAAUUUUACUUACUAAGUUUCCCCAAAACUCACUCCUUUAUCUUUCAGUUUUGUAAGCAUGAAAGUCUUAUGUUAGUGUUGAGAGCUGCAAUCAUGCUAGAAGAGAUAGGAAUUCUCUUGGCCAAAUGGAAAACUUAUUGUGUGAUGCAAAAAGAAGAGAGGGCCCGUAAAGAAAUGGUUUGUAAAAGUAUUAUUAUAAUAUAAAUCAGUGUGUUUUGUGUGAUGUAUGUCCCACUCUUCCAGCUAUUGUUUGUUUGGGGAGUCAUUUGUUUACGUUUUCACAUGUGCAUGAUAACAAGAUAAAAAGAAUUGGAACAGCGACAAGCUUGGGACGUCGUGAAAAUAACCCUUGUUGGAGUUGGGAUUGUGACACCUUGCACUUGCCCUCACUCACUUUAGGCAUGGGUGGCUACUAUACCAGCCUAUCCUGCGGUAGCCAAGACCGAAAUAUCGACAUGGAGUCUAUCUUCCCCAUCAUGAGGCCUCCUAAUCCCACCUCUAAUUUUGUCUUCCUGAGGUGGAGGGAAUAGGGGGUGACAUUGCGGGUCUCCCACCCCUAAGCGGUUCUCCCACCUGUUUCUUUCCCAUGAGCCUUUUAAGGACUUGCUCAGGUUCAUAAUUCGAGAAAUUAUAAGUACCAAAAGAAGUUAUUUAGUUGUCGGUCGCUCUUCUCCUUGCAUGAAGACCGGAGGAUUUUUUUUUUUUUUUGGAUGAAUUGGGCUGCUAGACAUGUCACAACACAAACUUUGUUACAUCAAUUUGCUCAAUUUGGAUUGUGGCCAUUAUUAUAUGUUCGGUUCACAAACAAGCAGCAUUGAUGCUACGUAUAGAAGGAUUGUACCUCUCAAUUCCUAUGAGCAGAUGCAUUACAAGACUACACUGCUAAGAAAACUUAUUGAGAUCCCUUGGAUAAACGAAAUCACGUUGAAGGUGCAAAGUUUAUCAGUAAUUAAGCGAUUGGACAACCGCUUUGAAAAACUAGUAAAAGUUCAAUUAAAAUCGAUAUAUCAUGCAAUAGGAGCCUAGAUUGGAAUCCGAGUGGACAAGUAUGUUCUAUCUGAUAACUGCUUUUGUUAGUUUGAUAAGAAACGGACUUGCGAAUUAGGCAGGAACCAUUCUUUUACAUUUUCUGUUACUUAAACUAACCUUUAGGACUGUUUCUGGCACUUAACAAACAAAUAAAAAUAAAAUAUAUUGCACACUCUGUGGAAGCCCUCAGGCAGCUCGGCGAGCACGUUGCAGAGGUUGGUCAUGUUGCACGAGUGAGAAGGGAAUUCCGGUGGUUGCUAUGGAAGGAGUAACUGAUCAGUGAAGAUGGAUACUGUGAAAUUGGGUAGGGGGGGGGGUACUUAUGCCAACUAAUUUGUAUUUGAUGGUGUAGAGAAUCGAAUCUCUAUCUCUCGUGUUGUUGCUUCACAAACUAAUGAUUGAAUCAAGUCGUGAGAACACGUUUAAAUGGGAUGAAAGCUUUAUUAUUUUUCUCGUAUCAUCAAUAAAUGAAUGGAGAGGUCUUACUCAUUUAUAAAGCAAACGCGAUUAAAGUGGUGCUCUAAAUUAUGUAUUUCACGUAUGUAUUGAUAUUUAACCAAGUCAUGAUAUCUAGCUUUACUUUCCAUGUUAAAUAAAGAAAGGAUCGUGCUUAUAUAUAUAAAAAGAAAGCCAAAAAGAAGGAGAAUUAGGAUCCACCCAAAAGAUUAGAUGCUUGAUGGAGACUAAUUAAGAUUUAAAUGAUAGGUUUUGGUGGGAAAAUGAUUGAGCACUUCGGCUUGGAAGGGACAAUUGGUUCCCAUCACAUUUCUAAUACUUUAAGCCCACCUUUCGGACUUGACGAGAUCAUUUAGGAUUCAUCGGCAUGAUUACAAGGUUGUUCCCUAUAGUGUCUCAAAUUCUGCCUGUCCAUACAUGUGUCCAACUCAAGGAAAGGAGGAAAAAGAGAAGAAUCUGUUGGUGAUCGAGGAAGGUGUGGUUGUGGCUUCAUCCCUUGCAAGACUGUGAAUCAUCCCUUGCCAGACGCUGUUUUUACAUGUGUUUAAAUCAGACAAAGGGAAAAAGUAGAAGAAUAUAUCUUUUCGGUCAGAAAAUUGCAGCUUUCCUUGAUAUUUUGGACUAUAAUAUGCAAUGAUUGUGGUAGGUUCUAUCUUAGCAUAAAAAGAUCAUGAUGCCAAUGAAACUUGAACUACACGAAAGAUGGGGCAAUGAUUCCAAUCCACUUCAUUAUUUGCUCAUAUUCACAACUUGUCACGAAGUUUAGAUCCGAAACAAUUCUUGGAAUCAUUGGCGGCCGAAAAAAGUUUUCUUAAUCUCUCUCUAAGUAACUAUUUAAUGAAGCUUACUCGGGUUUAUAAUUGAUGGAAUAAACUCAGACUUACUCCAAUUUUAGCAAUGUCACUGGAAAUAUGUCAAUCGAGCAAAAUAUGUCAUCUAAUCCACAAAAACUCCAGUAAUUAGCAUCACCGAUGAGAAGGUGGAAGGAAUUGACCUUCUACAAUAGGGGAAUACCAAGAAUGCAUAGACCAAGUGAAUGCCAUCUUUUGAAGUGACAAAUGCUAAAAGUUCUUGAAAAAUGAAAGCUUAAGAAUUCUAGAACUUCAUCUCUAUAUUUUUAGGAACCAAGUAGCAUUUUCUGUGAUAAGUACCAAAAAAUCCCAAACUUAUAGCAUUAGUAAUAAUUCACUUAUAAACUUUUCAAUUAGACCAAUCUAGUCUUAAAUUUUUUCACAUUUGUACCAAUUUAGUCAUUUCAACUAAUUUUGGUUAGUCGAUACUAAUAUAGACGUUGGCCAGUGGUCAACGUUGACAUGGACGCCGACGGGUGCUAAUGCUGAUAUGGCAAUUUUAAAAUAAUUUUUACUUUUUUUCCAAAUUUUUUAUUGAUUUGUUUUUCUCUUUUUCCUUUUCCUUUUAUUUUUUUUCUCCUCUUCCUCCUCGGGCUUCUUCUCCAUGUAGUGGUUGGACGAGGGCGUGCCCAAAUCCGGGUGAAGUUGCCUUGCCCAAUGCCCGCGACCCUAGGCGAGAUCAGGCAAGGGCCAUGACUCUCAUCUAGUGGUCGGCUAUUGUAGAGAGAAGAAACCUAAGGAGGAAGAAGAGAAAAAAGAAAAAAGAAAAAAAAAAGGAAAAGGAAAAAGAAAAAAAAUUGAAAAAGAAAAAUAUUUUUUAAAUUGCCAUGUCAGCAUUGGCCGAAUAGCAUACUGGCUGGCAUUCACGUUAGAGCUAACUAGUAAAAAUUGACUAGAAAUACUGAAUUAGUGCUGAUGUAAAAAGAUUUAUGACUAAAUUGAUUUAAUUGAAAAGUUUAUAACUGAAUUGAUACAAAUGUCAUAAAUUUAUAACUUUUUUGAUACUUUUGCCUGCAUUUCCUAGCAAUCACCUUUUCCCUUCUUCUCUUCCAACCAAUUGGUCUAUCGUUGGGAGCCAUUAAACAUGGGGACCAAGUGCCUCACUUUAUACAUUCUCCAUUUGCUGGGCACUUUCCAUGACCUCUAUAUAAACUGAUCCUUGGCUUCAAACUUGAGCACAAGAAAGAAACCAAUCCGAAGCCCCCACUUAAGUUUCUAGUUUAGCUCACUCUACUCCUACUUACUCACCCUCAAAUGGCACCUCAUGCCAAUCGCCUCGCCGAUAUUGGAAGGGAGGGUUUCGCUCUAGUGAACAGAUUUUAUGGUAGAGGGACAUCAGGUCAAGCACCAAAGAGGCAAUACGAUGUCCCAAAAAAGUAUUCUCCCGUUCCUAGCGACGAGAGGGAAAUCGAUUGCAAGAAGGCCGCCAAAAAAUACAAUGGAAUGGUGGUCACCAAGUACUAAACAAGAAGUUUGUCGGCUGGCGUUUCUAGGUUCUAGCGCUGUAAACAUGUAAAGGUUCGAGUUAACUUCCUAGAAGGUAAAGGUAAACUGGAUGAAUGUGUCCUUGUCACGGUUUUCACCAUGUUAGUCGUUUCGAACUCUAGUAAUGGGUCCUUGUCACUGCUCUAUAACCGUUUGUUUUUCAGCUUUCUGGAGUUUACUCGUAUGCUCGGAUGUGUCUAAGCUAGUAAUUGGACCUAUUUUAUACUAAACAUUCCGCCUUUUAUUCCUCUUUUUGGCAAAAUUUAUGGCGAUCUAUGGUAUAACUGUUCACUUCAUUGGCAUAAAAAGAAUAUUUCGAUCAUUUCCAAAGUGAAUGAUCAUUAUUUAAGUAACUUGCCAAUGUUCUGGUCCAAAGACUGUCCCAGAACUAGGAGGCCCAUCGGACACUGUGGUUCCACUCCUAAGUUGCUCCUGCAUGAUUCAUUCAUAAUUUGAGCGAGAUUUGAUAAAGACUCGCCAAAGCCAAAUCAUCCAAUUACGCAAUAUUCGGUUGUAAAUCCAGCAAGCACUCGCAACAUAUUACUUCGCAGAUGGACCGUUCUUUGAUUUAUUGGUGCAAUUGCACUCUUUUUCUUGUCUAGGAUGCUCACUAUUCUCUAGGAUCAAACGUAACUAUUUUUGUAGUGCAAAAAUGUCCCCUAACUUCCAAGAUAUGCCACGGAUAGUUCACCUCCUAUUCAUAAAUUACAAGCGGCAAGCAUAAAAUAUCAGGGACCCACAUGUUAACAAGCAAAAGCACGUUAUUUUCGUGAAUUAAGUAGUUCACUUUAAUUAAAAGAAAGAAAAGAAUAAAUGAAGGGGGACUCAUGAUGCACAUAUCAUCAAAUAUGCAAAGAUAAAAGUUUUAAGGCUCAUGGAUUUCUCUUGGUAAUAGAGCAGUGCGCAUAAUCUUUUUAGCAUGCUUUCUCGAUCCACUUUUGACUAGAAAGUUGGAUUCUGAACUGUUUCGCGGGCUUUUGAUGAAGUUUCUCCGGUCUAUUGGUACCUGGUGGUGGUGCAAAUGAAGGUAAGUGCGUGGCUCCAAGCAGAAUCGUUAAGUUCUCCGAGAAAGAAACAUAUGAAUCUUGAAACGCUCGGAAAAGUUUCCACCGAGAGAACGAUCAACUUGGUGAAGCAAUUUAGUUGCUGUAGGCAUGCCAAACAUCUUUUAAAUCCCUCCAAAAUCCCUGGAGAUCUGAACCGAGGAAUUAUAAGUAACAAAACACGUUCAGCAGUCGCUUGCUCCUCUCCUUGCGUGAAGGCCCGAGUAUUAUACGAAUGAAUUAAGCUGCUCGACAUGGCUCGACAUGAACUAUGUUACAUCAAUUUUGCUCAGUGCAGAUCGUGGCAAUUAUUCUAUGUUUGGUUUACUAAGAAGCAGUGUUGACACUACAUAUGGAAGGAUUGUACCUCUUAAUUCCCACAAGCAGAUGUAUUAUAAGCUUACACUGCUAAGACAACUUAUUGUGAUCCCUCGAAGAAACAAAAUCACGUUAUGUCUAUGUUUAUCAAGAGACUAGAGAGCUGCUUUAAAAAAAACUAGCAUAAGAUUAGUUAGCACCGACCUACCGCACAAUAAGGGUUUAGCUUGGAAUCCAAGUCGACAAAUCUGUUCGAUCGCAUAUUGCUUUUGUUAGUUUAAUAAGGAAUGAACUUGGCAAUCAUGCGGGAAUCAUUCUAUCACAUUUCUAAUACUUAAACCAACCUUAAGAGUGUUUUUCCGGGACUUGAGGAUGGGAAUACAUAGUGUACGCUUCUUGCUUUGGCUAAGUCUAAUGUAACAAAGAAAAGUAACCACAAAAUAUAUAUUACAUAUUAUAUAUAAAUAUAAAUAUAAAUAUAAAUGUAUAUAUGUGCGAAUUUCUGGUGAAAGGAUCCUACUAAUCCAUAAUCACUAGAACGGUUAGUUAAUUUAAUAAAACUCCAAGAUGCCAAUGAAACUUCAGCUGCAAGAAAUGUAGGCAUUCCAUUUAUUUCACACCGCUAAUAAACUAUAUCUCCGAAAUAUUUUAACUCUUUAUUCUCCCUUAUCGGUGAAAACAAUCUAAAAUAUCUUCACCUUUGCACUGAUCGAAUCAUCGACUGCAUUUGUGGUACCGUAAUUUCAUUAGAAUCGCUUGUAGGAGAAUGCAUUGACCAAGUCAAGAUUGUCAAUAACAAAUGGUACAAAGGAAAAGUUUCUGGUUAUGGUCCUAAAAUCUUUGGGACCGCAAGGCAUAGCAUCCUUUAAAAAAUUAUUACUUCUUUUCUUCUUUCAAGUGUUUGUAGAUGUUUGGGAUCAGAAAUGGGGGAACUCAUGAGGCCUUGCUUAAUUCCUUCUAUGUUUUCAUAACCCAUUUCAUUGGCUCUAUAUAAAGUCCUCUUUGGCCUCCCAACUCCAUCACUAGACACAGCCGAUACACUGCUUCCUCACUCAACUCACUUGUCAUUCCCCUCUGCGAUAAAUCUCAAAUGAGGGAUAAGAAUAGUAGGAGUGCCAAAACUUUUAUAUGGUGCUCACUUAAGUGUCAAAAUUUUAUUUUCGCUCACUUAAGUGUCACAUCGUAGUAAAAUUGCCCACUUAAAUGCCACUUUUGGCCAAAUGUCUUACGUGGAUUUUUAAUUUUUUUUGUUUCUUUUUUCUUUAGGGCCGGCAAGGAUCAUCAAUGACCCUCACCGGCCAUGAAACCCUUACCUUGGCCACGAAGGCCUUGGGUGAGGCCAUCAAGGCCUUGCUGGUUUUGGGUGGCUACAGGUGAGGGUCCUCGUGGCCUUGCCCGCUGCUGGCAAGGCCUCAACACCAUUGCCUAAGGCCUUCGCAGCGAGAGAGAGGUAGUGAGGACCCUUGCUAGGGGCUUCGCCCAAGGCCUUUGCAGCUGAGAGCGAGGUGGCCAUUGCCUAGAUUGGGUGAAGAUUUUGCGGCCAGCGAGGGUCGUCAAUGACCCUCACUAGCCCUAAAAAGAAAUAGAAAAGUAAAAUAUAUUAAUUUUUUUAAAAUAAUAUUAAAAUAAUAUUUCCGAUGGCCACGUUAGCUUUUCCGGAGGGGCAAAUCAGAAGUGGCACUCAAGUGAUCGAUUUUUCAAAUUUGUGGCAUUCAAAUGAGCGAAAAAAAGUUUUGCCACUCAAAUAAGCUCUUUGCGAAUGUAUUGACACUUGUACUAUUCUUCCUUUCUCAAAUGGCACCUCAUGCCGACCACCUUGUCGAAGUUGGAAGAGAUGGGUUUGCAACACUAGACAGAAUUUGCAAUCCAAGGCCGAUGGCUCAAGGGUCAAAUAGUCGAAACAUCCCCCCAACAACCCACGAGGCUGUCACAGGCACGGCGGCUCCUUAUCAUGAUAAUGUCAUUGAUAGCAAGACCGCGGCUAGGAAGUACAAGGGAGUGGUUGUUAUGGAGAUCUACAAGAGAAACUUUCCUGGUCGUAGUUAGUAGAUUCUGUCUUGUACAUGGUUUAAGUAAUUCCCUAGUAUUCUAGCGUCUGAUGUUAAAGGAACGUCCGACCUCCGACAUGUGCGUUCUAAGCUCUGUCCCUAAGACCAGUGCUGCUAACUCAUGUACCACUUUGAUCGGCAAACAACCGAACCCUUGAGAAACUUUUCACCCCCAGGAUGUGAUGAGUCGACAUCGAGGUGUCAAACGACUCCUUAUCAACUCUCCUAUGUGAUUAGUUGUGCACUCAAUCCAUUCUGAACAGUAAUAAUUAUUUUUCGCUUUUAUACUGAUUACCUGAAAAUAGACUGUAAUCUUCUAGAAAGGCGAAAUACAUCUUUUUGUUAUAAGUAAGACAAGGUGGUAAUUUUGAAAAAAUAAAAUAAAAUGAAACACCGGUAACUAACUCAAAUAAAAAUUGGUAUCAGAGAUAAGUACAUCUUAAAUGCCGUGACUUUUGGAUGGUGCUCACUUGAGUAAACUUUUUCCCAAUUACUCUACUGCCAAAUCAGUAAAAAAUGGUUCACUUGAGGGUUUAUUUCAGUGAAUUGUCCUACAUGGCUUUUUCAUUAAAUUUUGAUUGCGAUGUGACUUCUUUUAGAAGAAAUUUAAUUCCAACAUGGAUAAUCUUUGGCUGACGAGGUGAAACAGGGCCAAAACGAUGUCAUUUUGGUCCUUAAUUUAUUUCAAAAUGAAACAUUAAAUUCUAGAAAGGGGAUGCUCGUUGGAGAAGCUUGAGCAAUUGAGAGUUUUGAGCUUGAGAUGAGCUGUGGAGAGGUUUGAGCUUAAGAGAUAACACAAAGGGAACCGGUUGAAUCCGCUUCGGCGAGGUCGAGAUGAUGCCGAGUCUAAUAAUGACGAAUGGAGUAGCACUGAUUUGGACGAAUUGUAAAAAAUUGUCGGGUUUGGAACAUGAAUUAUCAUGCUGCUCGUCGGAAUUGUGCAACUCGCAAAGAAGUUGAAGGUGAUGGAGAUGCCACGCUGGGUGCAUCAGUGGAAAAUCACUAGCAUCUUCCUCCAGCAAAUCUCUCUUGAUGAUGGGUAUAUUAUCAUCGUCAAUUGUACACCAACGUUGAAUGACUAAGCUCGAGGAACCAUGUCUCAACCUCCGGAGAAGAAGAGAGAAAAGCAGAGGAUUUGGCUAGCUACGAACGCUCUUCCCCCUUUUUGCAGAAAGAACACUAAAAGCACCAUAUUUUUCAUAUGACACCUAUUUUAAUGCCAAAUUUUUUUGAGCGAUUACUUAAAUGCUACUUUUUUAUUUAAAAAAAAUCACUUAAGUACCAUUACCGAAUUGAAUUAUGAGAAAAUCUGAUGUGACAAUAUUUUAAUAUAAUCCAACGUGGUUCAGCGGCGAGAUGAAGGCAAAUGACAUUGUUUCGGCCAUUUGUUUGACCUUAAAAUAAUGAAUUAAGGCUAAAUCCAAAAUGUCUGUUAAGCCCUUACCCUAAAUUUAGGAAUUGGGGUAAAUUUUGAGUCAUCUUUUUUGUUUGGAACCGCUCUAAGCAAUCUUCUUCACCAUACUUGCCUACUCUUGAAAGCUGUUGAGGCAGAGGUUUGGACGCGGAAGAAAAGGAAUUCGCUUGGUUCCUAAAUGCCCACUGAGGUGAGCCCCGAAGAGGAAGUUGUGAGUGAGAAGGCUACUGCUGGUUUAGAUAAAUAUGAUGAAUGAGAUUGAGAAGAAUGGUGAUAAUAAAGAGCUAGAAAGCAAAACUACCAGAGAAAGAAAGUCCUGAAAAAGUUGCGUGCUAAUGAUUAGGGCUGGUGAAGCAGGAUCGAACGAACUUCGAGUACUUGAAAGAUGUGGUCAGAAAAUAGGGGCAAAUAGAGUGUCUUCUUCAGUGCUGUAAAAACAUUAUGACACUUGUAGAUUUCUUGUCCAACCAAUCUUGUCCAUUGUUUAAUUGGAUAAAAGUUGAUAAUCACUCCAAUUAAAAUUGGCAAUUUCAAUAGAGAGGUGAUAAAUUUAAGGAUUGGUAAUAACUAAGGCAAAUAAAAAUUGCUUAUUCAAUAGAAAAGUUGGUAGAUCUAAAAAAAAAUUACCAAAUAUGAAUUGGCAAACCAAAUCUAAUAGGUAUACUAAUGAGAGAAAACCCGGUAAGUCACAAUUUUUUUUUUUUUUUUUUGGUGGAAGAUAACUCACAAAAUUAAGUUGGUAAAUCUAAUGCGUUUGUAUGAGACAUGAAUCAAAAUUGAUAAAAAAUGACAUAAGUUAACAAAUAAUAAUAAAAAAGACCAAAGGGACAUCGGUAAGUAGCUCAAACAAGAGUUAGUACCUCAAAACUUCGGAAAAGUUGAUAAGUCACUCAAAUAUAAAUUGGUAAGUUCAUAUAUGAGUAAGUAAAUUAAAGGCGUCAUGAGUAAGACAAAAAUCUAGAAAAAGGUAAAAAGAAGAGUCGGCAAUUUCAUGUAAAUAAGUUGUCGGAUAACCGGUGUAAAAACAUUAAAAAAAUAUUCCAUCUUUUGGGAAGGGAAAAGUAGAUCCGUCCGGCUACCCUGAGGAAGCUCCAGUGCGUGGAAGCAGAAUCCGUUUUGACGAGAGAAUCAUUUUGACUGGAGGGAAAAGCGGGACGCGGAAGGAAAGAAUCCGAGAACGCCGUAUUCGAUAUAAAGUAAAAAGCUUUGAUUGAUCCUACUUUCGUCUACCCCAAAUUGCAUUUCUCACGCGGGGAUGCUUGCGAAAGCACGACGACGAAAGCCUCAGAGAUCAGCCUGCUCGAUUGAGCCACUUCUUAUGUCGUUUCCAGUUUCAAUUCCAUGUAUGCCCCUUAUUUUGACUUUCGGUACACAUUCCCUCUAAAGAAAAAGAAUAUAUUCGGCGACGAAGUUGUAGCGUUUUUUGAUGUUUCAGAGCUACACUUUGCAAUUAUGAUGGAAGGUCCUAUCUUAGCCUGAAAAAUCAUGAUGCUAAUGAAACUUGGACUACAAGAAAAAAGUUGGCAUGAUUCCAAUAUGCCACAAGUUUGGCUCUGGAACUAUUUUUUCAAAAUCAUUUGCGGGUGAAGAAAGUCCUCUUAAUUUCAAUCUAAGUAUCUAAUUAAUUCUUAUUUUCAAUCUAAGUAUCUAAUUAAUCAUGUUUACUUGUAAUUAUAAUGAUGGGAUAAACUCAGUCAGACUUGCUACAAUAUUGUGAUUUCAGCAGAAAUAUGUCGAUCGAGCACACAAGUCCUUAGAAGUGAUUUUUUUUUUUUUUUUGGGGUAAAAAUGUCCUUAGAAGUGAUUUAAUUCAUAGAGACUACAAUAAUUAGCAUCACUCAAGAGAAAGUAGAAGGAAUUGAGCUUGUACAAUAGUGGAAUGCGUAGAAUGGAUAGGAUAGAACAAGUCAACGCCUUCCUAUCUUUUGAAGUGUAAAAAGCUAAAUAUUUUUGCAAAAAUAAAAGUUAAGAAUUCUAGAAUUUUGUCUCUAUACUUUUAGGACCAAGGUAUUAUUUCCUAGCAAUUACCUUUGGAACCCAUUGAAAUGUGGGUACUAAGGGCCUUCCUUUGUUCCUUCCCUAUCCGCAUGGCACUUUCCGUGAGCUCUAUAUAAACUGAUCUUCGCCUUCAGACUUGAACACAAGAAAGAAACCAAUCCAAAGCUCUCACAAAACUUUCAUCUUCAGCUCAUUCUCCUCCUACUAACCCACCUCAGAUGGCAAAUCAUGCAGAUAGCCUAGCCGAUAUUGGAAGGGGGGGUUUUGCGCUACUAGACAGAUUUUAUGGUGGAGGGGCAUCGGUUCGAGCACCGAAGAAGCCAUACAAUGUCCCACAGCAGCAUGCUCCCAUUCCCAGCAACAAGAACGUAAUCGAUAGCAAGAAGGCCGCCGAAAAAUACAAAGGAGUGGUGAUCGUGGAGUACUACAAGAAGAAGUCUGCCGGCUGGCAUUUUUAGGUUUCUAGCGCUGUAAAUUGUAAUGGUUUGAUUACCUUCCUAGAAGGUAGAAGUAAACCGGACGAACAAGUCCUCGUCACUGUUUUCGUCAUGUUUGUCAUUUCAAACUCUAGUACUGUGUAGUACUGUGUUAAUGUAUACGUUUUGUUUUCUGGCUUUCUAAAGUUCGGUUGUAUACUUGGAUGUGUCUAAUCUAGUAACUGGACUUGUUUUACUAAACAUUCCGCCUUUUAUUCCUCUUUUGGUUGACUUUAUGGCAAUCUAUGGUAUAACCGUUCGCUUAAUUGGUGUAAAAGAAGAUUUCAACCGUUUUCAUAGUGAAUGACCACAACUGACUUCAAUCGUUUUCAAAAUGAAUGGUCACAACUAAAAUAACUAGCCAAUGAUCUGGUUCAAAGACUGUCCUAGAACUAGGUGGCCCAUUGGACGCUGUGGUUCCGUUCCUGAGUUGCUCCGGCAUGAUUCAAUUUGUAAUAUUGAGCAAUAUUUGAUAAAGACUCACCGAAGCCGAACCAUCUAAUUAUGCAAGAUUCGGUCGUAAAUCUAGCAAGUACUUGCAUCAUAUAAUUACAUAGAUGGACCAUUCUUUGAUUUAUUGGUGCAAUUGCAUUCUUUUUCUUGUCUGGAAUGCUAACUAUUCUCCAGGAUUAAAUGUCACUGUUAUCGUAGUGGAAAAGUAUUGUUGGGUCUAGAAUUAUCACCUAGAGAGGAGGGUGAAUAGACGAAUAUGCGAAAUUUAAAAUUAAUUGAGUAUAAUACUGCAAACGGAUGUAUGAUAAAAAACUACACAAUGAUCAGAUCUUUCUAUGUGUAAUAAACUAUUAAACUGAAUAAAUGAGAGAUUAAAGGAUAGAGAAAAUUGCACACAACAACUAUAGUGGUUCGGCUUAUAGUAAGCCUACGUCCAAUCUUCUGUGCUGACAACCUAUUGACUGGAUUUCACUAUAGAAUCAAUCAAAGGUUACAAAGUUGGGAGUAUUCUUUACUCAAGUAUGUGUGACCACAUCUUCUGAUAUAACACUCUCAACCUUUGAGAGAUUAUAAAAUGAGCUCACAAAGACGAGUAUGUAAAGACAAAACUCUCUUUAAACUUUGGAAUUUUAGACUUCAGCUCUAGUAUUUCUUUCAGCAAUGCGAUCUCCUUGUAUACAUCUCAUUCUCUAAAACGACUGUUGGAUAGAGAUAUUGAGGAUCAUUCAUCCAAUUAAUUCAUUGGGCUUGAAUGAUAUAGGAAGAUCUGAUUGCUUCUAAAAUACCAAGAUUAGAGUCUCUCUCUUUGAUUUUGCUACUUAUGCAACAUAGAUUAGGUUUCUAUAAGUUGAGUUCGUCAUUUGGAAAGUACGUUUCGUCUCCAAAAUAAUUGCCAUGACGCUUCUAUGCCAUGACGCUUCUAUUACAAAGAAAGAUUUCAUUGACAUUCAUCCCUCCUGGACAGUCAAUAUAUAGAAAAAAAAUGUAGGCCAACUUAUUAGCCAAUGUGCUUCAUAUAAUCCAAAAUGAUUACAAAGAUCCAAAAUCUUCUCGUAACAUCUAAAGAUUUGUAUUGUCUUGACAAUUGUUGUACAAAUUAUAUUGUCUUUGAUUGUCAUGACAUAACACAAUCUUCAUCAUAUAGAAUGAGGAUAUCUUGAAUAGCCAACUAAGGGGGCGUUUGUUUUCACUUCUUUUUUUUGUUUUUAAACAACUUUUCUGUUCCUAGGAACAAAAAAGGAACAAAAACGCGUUUGGGUGCAUUUUUGUUCCAAAAUUGUUUUUUUGUUUCCAGAAACACAUCUGGAACAGAAACAAGAAACACAAAAAAAAUUGUUUCUCGUUUCUGAAACAGAUUUGAGAAACACAUUUCUUCUUUUUUUUUUUUCUUCUUCUUUUUUCUUUCUUUUUUCUUUCUUUUUUCUUUGGCCGGUGGCCGGCUUGGCCAGGGCCGACGACCGGCCGUCGGGGGCCGGCGUACUCACUGGAGCAUCGCCGGCUCCCGGCGAGGCGGAGUUUCGCCGGCCCUUGGCGAAGCUCGGGCUCGCCUUGGCUGGGCGAGCUCGCCCAGAUCCGGCGAGCCUGACCUCGCCCAGCGNNNNNNNNNNNNNNNNNNNNNNNNNNNNNNNNNNNNNNNNNNNNNNNNNNNNNNNNNNNNNNNNNNNNNNNNNNNNNNNNNNNNNNNNNNNNNNNNNNNNCCCGGCCAAGGCCGAGCCUCGCCGUCCGCUGACCGAGGUCGGGCUCGCCGUAUUUGGGCGAGCUCGAGCUCGCCCAACCAAGGCGAGCCCGACGUCGCACCGGGCUGGGCGAGCUCGAUCUCGCCCAGAUCCGGCGAGGCCGAGCUCGCCCAGCGGCCGGCGAGGCUCGGCCUUGCCGGGCCACCGCCAGGUCGGCGUCGCCUGGCGGUGGCCCGGCGACGCCGAGCCUCGCCGUGGCUGGGCGAGGCCGCUAGCCCUCGUCGGCCGGUCACCGGCCAUGGCCGAGGCCGGCGAUCGGCCAAAAGAAAAAAAAUGAAAAAAUGAAAAAGGAAAAAGAAAAAAGGAAAAAGGAAAAAGAAAUAAGAAAAUAAGAAAGAAAAUAGAAAAAAUAUUAAAAAAUAAAAGAAAUAAAAAAAUUAUACAAAUUUACCAAACGUGUUUCUGUUUAUUUUUUAUUCCCGGAACAAGUUUACCAAACGCGUGUUUUUGUUAAAAAAUUGUUCCCCGGAACAGAAACACUUUUUUUUUUAUUUCUGUUCCCUAGAACAAUUUUUAAACAGAAAUGUUACCAAACGCGCCCUAAGUCUCUGAGUCUAGUGAUGAACAAAAUUCGAGUUUGAUGAUAUUAAGAACUUCUUGAUUAGAUGAACAAGUCUUUCAGUUUGAUGCUCUUAGUCUGUUGAUAUUCAGAACAAAGUCCGAACAUCAUUUUUUUAAGAAUAUCACCCGAAAAUACUUUUGUGAGAUUCAAUAGACACUUAUGGAAGGUUUUAUAAAUCUUCAAAACAUAUUGGGAAGUUUUCUCAACAAAUAUGUCCUCUUACAUCCAAGAUAUAUCAUGGAUUAUUCACCUCCUAUUCAUAAAUUACAAGCAGCAAGCAUAACAAUGUCAAGGUUCCACAUAUCAACAAGCAAAAGCACGAACUUUAUUUUUAGCGAAUUUACGUAGUUCAUUUUGUUCAAAAGAAUGAAAAGAAUAAAUGAAGGCAUGAUGCACAUAUGAGGGUAACUCUAGGUGUCUCAACUCAAAUAUGCAAGGAUCUAAUUUAUAAGGCUUACGGAUUCUCUUAGUUAUAAAGCAGUGCGCAUAAUCUUUUUAGCAUGAUUUCUGGAUUCUUUUUUUGACUAGAGAGUUGGAUUCUGAACUUUUUUGCGGGCUUUUGAUGAAAUUUCUCCGAUCUUUUGGUACCUGGCGGUGGUGCAGAUAGAGGUUAGUAUGUAGCUAGCAGAAUAAUUAAGUUCUCGAAGAGAGAAUCAUAUGACUGGAAGUUUGUGAAAAGAGAAUCUUAAAACACUCAAAAAAGUUUCCAUCGAGAGAGACGACCAAUUCAAUGAAGCAAUAGAGUUGUUCCAGGCAAGCCAAACAGCUUUUAAAUCCCUCCCAAGUCAUCGAAGAUCUAAACCGAGGCAUUAUAAGGAACAAAACAAGUUAUUUGGCAAGAGGUGGACACUACAAGUGUUAAAACUUAGCACGGAGAUACUUAUACGUCAAAAGUUCCAAAAGGUACAUUUAAAUGUCAAAAAUCGGAGAAAAAUGAAACACUUAAAUGCCAAUGUCGAGAAAUUCAGGCCAAAUAGUUGACGUGGCAUUUUUUGGCGACUUUUUUUUAUUGGCGUGUCAAUUUUUUUUUUUAAAUUAUCCACAUGGCAAUUCUAUAAAAAAAAAGACUAUCCACAUCAGUAAAAAGUCCCUAAAAUUAAUUUUUAAUUUAAUAUUAAUUAAAAAUAAAUUAAAAAGCUAAAUUAUUAAGAAAAGGGGUGAAUAGUAGGUUUGACGAGGGUCUUUGUAGCCCUUGCCGCCGUUGUCCCACCAUUGCUGGAGAGGGCUGGUGAUGGUGGGGCAAGGGUCGGUUGGAGUCGCCGGCCCCUAGUUAGUGGCCGACAACCUUGGUCGACCAUUGGCGAGCCCUCGCCCAGAUCUGGGGUGCCGGUCAUGGCCCUUGGCCCCUCUAGGCGAGGGCCAGCUAAGAAAACUUCCCGCUUGAGCUUUUUGUUCGGUUCUGAUCUAAUCAAAUUAGGUUUACAAAGAAGUCAUGGUUGUUUAUCGUGACUUAUACGAACUCAUUCAUACUUGAUGGCGUUCAGAAUCAAAUCUCUGUCUCUCCCAGUAUGGCUUCAAAAAACUAAUCAAUGAAUCGAGUCGUUAAAACAUGUUUAAAUGGGUCAAAAGAUUUAUGAUUUUCCUGUUAUUUGUAAAUGAACAGAUAGGUCUUGCUCGUUUAUGUAGUGGACAUAAUCGAUAACCAAUGCUCUAAGCUAUGCAGUUUGUGCAUCUAUUGAUCUUCAAACGAGUCAUGAUUUCUCGCCUUACUCCUCACGUUAAACUGAGAAAGGAUAUCGCCUAAUUAUACAUAAAUUUUAAAAAAGGAGAGUUAAGAUUCACUCGACAGAAUUGAUGCUUAUGGGCAUAAAGAAGGUUUAAUUUACGGGGUUUCUACUCCUACAUAUCCUAACAAUUUGUUAACAAUAAGAAGCCCACUCGGAAAGGAGAUUCAGAUUGGAAUGGACAAUUGAUUCAAAGCACAUUUCCUAAAUACUUUAAGCCCUCCUUCGGACUUAAAAGGACUGUUUAGGAUUCAUCAGUAAGACAGAAGGUGUCCACCUCAAGGAAAGGUGGCGAUCGAGGUAGAUGUGUAUGCGACUUCAUCCCUUAACGGAAUGUGUUCGUCCAUUUGUCGAAAUCAGGCAAAGGAGAAAAGAAGAAGAAUAUAAUCUAUGGUCAGGCAGUUGUAGCCAUCCUUGAUAUCUUAUACUAUACCUUAUAUUAUUCUGCAAUUAUUAUUGAAGGUGCUGUUCUUAUCAUUAAAAGAUCACGAUGCUAAUGAAACUCGAACGACAAGAAGAGGUGGGCACGAAUCCAACUUACUUCAUUAUCUACUCACCGUCCCAAUUUGUCAAAAGUUUGGCUCCGGAACCAUUUUUCGAGAUCAUUUGCGGAUGAGAAAGGCCUUAUUAAUCUCUCUGGAAGUACCUAGUUAUUGAAGUCUACUUGUCAUUAUAAUUGAUGGAAUAAGCUCAAUCAGAAUUUCUGCGAUUCAACUGAUGUCACUGGAAAUACGUCAUUGGGACUCAUAAAUGGUGGUAACUAGGAGCCUUCCUUUAUCCCUUCUACAUUUCCAUGGCACAAUCCAUGAGCUCUAUAUAAACAGAUCUUGGCCUUCAAAAUCGAAUGCAAGAAACCAAUCCAAAGCCCACGCAUAAGUUUCUAGUUUAGCUCACUCUCCUUCUACUAACUCACCCGCAAAUGGCAUCUCGUCCCAGUCGCCUCGCCAAUAUUGGAAGGGAGAGUUUCCCUCUAGUGGACAUAUAUUAUGGUGAAGGGACAGUCGGUCCAGCACCAAAAAAGCAAUACAACGUCCCAACGCAGUAUGCUCCCGUUCCCAGCGACGAGAAGGUAAUCGAUAGCAAGAAGGCCGCUGAAAAAUACAGAGGAAUGUUGGUCGUGGAUUACUGCAAGAAGAAGUUUGGUGGCUGGCGUUUUUAGUUUCUAGCGCUGUAAAUGUGUAAUGGUUGGAGUGACUUCCUAGCAGGUGGAGGUAACUGGAUGAAUUAGUCCUUGUCAUGGUUUUUGUCAUGUUAGUCAUUUUUAACUCUGGUACUGUGUUUAUGUAUACCUUUUGUUUUCCGGCUUUCUGAAGUUUAGUUGUAUGCUUGGAUGUGGGUAAGCUAGUAAUUGGACCUGUUUG
rnacentral:lncRNA from 1 species